GCCUUAGGCAUGGAGGCCAUCCAGAAGGGGUUUCAGGUGACGUUCGUGACAAUGGGAGAACUACUCUCCCUUCUGAAAACUGAAGAAUUCACGCGAAAAGCGCAGGUCCAGCUCAAUCGGAUCCGAGCGUCUGAUUUAGUGAUCAUUGAUGAUUUGAUGUAUAUGGCAAUGGAUCAAAGGGAAGCUACCCUGUUUUUUCAUUUGAUCAAUCAUCUAUAUGAACGGAGUUCAAUCAUCUUGACCUCCAAUAAGAGCCCCGACCAAUGGGGAGAAUUAUUGGGCGAUGAGGGCGUCGCAAUGGCUAUCCUAGACCGUAUUCUGCAUCGAGCGGAGGUCGUUCACAUGAAUGAAGCCAGCUACCGUAUGAAGCAUCGCCAGAGCAUGUUUGUGAGCGAAAGUGUUCAAAAUUAAUUGGCGUUAACUGUUCAAUUCUACUUGACGCUGACAUUUCCGUCUUUGGAAUCUGGACUUCUUUAAGAUGCAUCUUGAAUCCUGUGCGGCCUCUAACCACGCUGCCGAAUCUCGUCAAUUCCCCAGUUUCCAAUCCUACAUACACAUCAUCGGGCACUCCAUAUGCUACCUGGAUAAUCGCCAUGUUAGUCCUCCUUUACUCGAUACUGUUUAAUCUUUCAAGCCACUUCAAUAUGCUGCCACUCUUAAAGAAAUAUAAUAAUGUACCAUUGCAAAAUCACUCGACUCUAAGAUCGCCCAUAUUCUGUACUAUUCAAUGCCACUUGAACAGAUUAAAUAACUACAAUUGAAUUAAAAACCACUAGUAAAUUGGAGAGCAACGCUACAAGAGUGCAUUUCUGGCUCUUAUAGGCAUAUUCGAACUUAGGCUUCAUCAUCUUCCCAAUUUUAUGCAUUAGUAUCUUUAAAAAUUACCAAGUAUUGUUAAUACUUAUAACUACAAUUUAAGUUACACGAGCAUCUAGUAAUCCGUAUCAAUUCUCUAAAUUUACUACUCAAUAUUUUUUAUAAAGAAUUCGAUAAAUUCUCUCCCAAAUCCUGAUACGAUUAAUUUGUCUCUAGCUUUUGGCUUAAGCUUGUUAUUCAUCUUUAUCGGAUUUAUUUUCUUUUUAGGAUCUUUGAUAGCAGACUGAGUAGCAUUUAAUGAAGUAAUAACUUCGUUAACACUCUUGUUGAUAGAUUCCAUAUCCUUUUUGACCAUUUUCUCAUAUUGGUUUUGUAACAAUCCAUAUCUUUCAAGAUUAUUUCUUACUGCGGUGUAUUGUUCAUAAUUAAUAUCAAAUUCAUCAAGGAUAUUUUCAUAUGUUAAAGUGUUGUCUUUAGUUAAAUCCCACGUUGAGUAAGACAACUUUAAACAUGAUAUAUCAAGGAGAGUCAGUCGAUUUAGUGUAUCAAAAUACAGAUGAGCCAUAUCAAAAUUAAUAUUUACAACUUUGGUUAAUUCUGAAUAGCCAUUUACAAUAUAUUCGAUUUUUUCUUGCUGAUGAGUAUUUGCAAUCUGUUCUAGGGCUAUACUCAAAAUUUCAUCCAAUUUGGCCUUAUUUUCAGAAGUCUGAGCUAUAAGGUUUUGGUUUAUUUCUUCUUGAUGUUUCAUGAACUCCUCUAACCCUAUAGAGAUAUUUUGAAUAGCUUUCUUUUGUUUGAAUGUAGUAUACAAAGAUCCUAUGCCAGGUAUCAUAGAACCGAUCAAAUCUAGCCCAACUUCAGCAACUAUUUCGCCGGCCGUAGAUUCAAUAACAUCUUUGGCAAUUUGUUUUGUUGAUUCAACUCCAUAUUCUGAAAAAACUGAUAAGAUAUUUUCUAAAAGAAACCCACCAGAUUCUUUUCCAAGACUCAUUUCAUACCUCCACAUUCAUUACUUUAACAAAUCCCGAAACCUUUACGGUCCUAUUUUGUUUUUUUGUAGCACACAGAUACUUCACUUUCACUACCAAUCUAUAUUAAUAUUACUCUUUAGAACACAUAUCUAUAGCGUUUAUUUUCCAGGGUAUCUGUUUUCUCCCGAAAAAUAGUACAUCACACCAGUUCAAGUCAUUGAAUGCAAAUGGUGAUGAUUUCGGUACUAAAAUGCAUCACUGGUGCGAUUAUGGUUUUUUUAUAGAUACUAAAAAAUCAAAGUGCUGAUAUAACAACACUUUGACCUUAUAUUUUAGAACUAAUAUGCUGAACAUUCCAUUUAGACUUUUGAAUUUAAGUACAUCUUUCGGCGGUAAAACCAAUAAUUUAAUAGGCUAAAUUUCAUAGUUUCUUCUUAAAACAUCAUUACCCAAUAUCAUACGAUAUUUGUAUCCAGAUUCUCCAACUUGUUCUUCCGCAGCGGAUGCUUUAGCCAAAACUAUUUCAUCCUCAGCUUUGUUAUCACCCUUAACCUCAAUAAUUUCAUGUGUUCCGUCUUUCUUCUUCACAACAAAGUCUGGAAAAUAAUUCCGAACGCGAUGAGAAACCGGGUCAAUAUAUUGAAUGUAAAAUUCUCCUUGCUUACUUGUGAACAUACCUGUAAAAUAUAUUUCUUCCACAUCAUCACUUUCCAAAUAUUGUUUGAAUAACUCCCUUUCAGGGAUUGAGUCAAAUACAUACGUAUCUGCAUGGAAGGAUUUAUCUUUAAAUCUCUGGAUGGAAUCAUCUUUAUCGCGUAUCACCAUGUCUGGCUUCCCAUGAAAUUUAUAAUAAUCUUUUUCUCCUACAGGGAUUUUUAGCAACGAUACCGUUCUUUCUUCAGUUGUAAUAUAGGAGGAAAUAUGAUACUUAUAGCGGAAAACCGCAGGAAUUAUUCGCUCAUAAAGAAUACCUUGAUAUUGAUUCACUGUAUCAAGUAAUUUUUCCAAACCGUCUUUUGACUCCAAUAAAAUCGUAUCAACUUCUAUAGGAUCCAUAUUUAGAUACCGUGCGAUUUCUCCAACAAGUGUCAACUUAGAAUAACGAUAACUAUCGUAUUUAUCUGCGUUUAAUUCUUCCAAACUUUCAGUUGGAUUCAAGUCCAUACUUGUUUGCUUGUAAAGUGUCAUUUUAUAUUUAGAAUAAUCUAGUUCAUCCAAUUGGAAAUCAAGUGGUGACGGUUCAUUCACUGUUUCAAAUUGAUAAAUUCUUUUUAACCGUUUUAACUCGAUUUCAUGUUCUGGCGGGUUCACUCGUAUAUAAUAGGUUUUCUGUUCUGAGCCUUCUUUUAGAUCCUCAAUGCUCAUACGAAAGUUAUUUUCUAAUUCAUCAUUCAAAAUUUUUCGAUUUUCUUCAGAUAGAUAAAUCCGUGCUGUUUGUUGUGUGUCUGUAAUUUGGCGCAGACAACGCAUGGUCGCUUGUAGCACAAAUACAUUACUAGUUGGUUUCCGAUGCAUCGCCACACCAAACAACGAUCGGCAAUUCCAUCCUUCACGACCUUUAUCAAUCAAAAUGAUAAAUUGUUUAUUUGCCCCUGUCGUUCCUACGACAUCCAAAUUAUUAAAAUCACGAACUUCUUCUGCACUAGACUUUUGUGUAUUAACCAAAAUUUUAUCUAGAGGAAUAUUCAUACUCGCUAAUAUUUCCUCAAUUUCUGGUAAAACAGUAUUGUCUAUAUCAUCUUGAUUUUUUGUAAAAAUAGCUAAUUUGGGAAGCAAUCCUUCAUAUGUAUUUUCACCAUACUCUUCCCAAAAAUCCUGAAUCGCAUCUUGUAAGAAUCCUUUUUCUUGAACAUUUUCGUAUCCGUAUCGAAUAGCGUUUUUCAAGUACCCUUUUGCAAUUGAAGCUUUUAACCCAUAAGAGUAAACAACAUCUGGUAAUGUAACUUUCUGUACAUAUGGUGUACCGGUAAAAUUAUAACAUGACACUACCUGAGUUCCUUGGUCUUGCAAUACUCCGUCAAGUAAAUCAAUCGUAUCACGUAAAGCAGUAUUCAAACUAUUCUUUAGUUCAAUACCAUACAAAUGGUGUGCUUCAUCCACAUAAACACCUAGUUGCGGUAAACGAGAUAACUUACUGAAACGAUGAUUGAUAGUGAUGUCAUUCGGUGUGAAAAUAUCCUCAUUAUUACCAAAAAUCUGAGUCAUAAUAUCUGAGUAAAAUCCAUCCUCUGGUCCAGGUUCUGGUUUAAAUAAGGAAUCUGUAGCGGUCUCUUUUUUCCGACGACGUUUGGUUAUGAUUUUUUGAUUAUUUACGAUAACGAUAUUAAAGUCUGAACCAUCAAUCGUUGACAGCAUAGUGUUCGUAUCAUCUAAAAAGUGAAACUUCAUGUUUGAUUCAAGUAAAGAUGCAUAUUCUCUUGGAACUACCUUUGAUUUAUCGAACGUCAUGAUUUCGCGUAAUGACUGCAAAACUGUUUUAUCUGGGGCAAAAACAAUCGCAUUGUGGCAAUAUUUCUUAUCUUUUGGAAACUUAUUCAUUAGUAAGAACUCAUAAAAGAUACACGUAGCCAUUAAGAUUGUUUUACCCAACCCCAUUGUUAGUGCAUAAAUAUAAUUCGGAUAGCUCGUCUUUACAGCUUCUAACUGCCCUUCUAAAAUUUCAAAAUCUGACUCAGACAUAUCAUAGAAACUCAUUUGCCCGGUGGUCCCAUCAGUCUUAGUUACCCAAUUUUGAGUUUCUAAAAAACUCCCUUCUUUAUUAUGCCAAUCACGAACUAGCUGAAGCAUAGUUUCAUUGUUCAAAAAUUCUUUAAUGAAUACAUACAUCUCCAAUGCCUCAUAUUGUGGUUGACGCAAAAACGCGCCAUCACCAGUUGAUGGAUCAUUGUAUUCUAAAAACUUUUUAGUUAAAUCACGAUAAUGCUGGCGAAUACGUCCUUUGUUCUCUUCAUAGUAAGCAUGUAAAAAUUCAAAGAAACUAAAAUCUAAGUUUACUUCUGUAGUUUUCUUUUUUAUCACCAUGUUACUUCACCUCUAAUUCAAGAGAUUCAGAUAAAACAUCCGUAACUUUCACACGAAUCGUUCCAGUAUCUUCAGGAAUAUCAUAUACACCUUUAACUAGUUCAUUACUCGUAGGAAUAUCAAUACAACUUGGUGCUAAUACAACACCAUCAUAGUUGAAAUCAAUCAUAACUGACUCAACUAAUUGUUUCCAAUCUUCCACGCCUUCUUUCUGUAAGCUUAAUUUUUGCAAUAAGUUCAUUGGAUAGAAAGAUUCGAUGUAUAGUUUCCCAUCGCGGAUAGCUAGUGAUCCACUAGAAUCUCGUUUCAACUGCAGAUUAGCUUUGUCACGAAGAAUAUCAACAAUUUCUAGAUCAAUUUUGAAUUCCCCAACUUCCUGAGAGAACGCUGCCUUCAAAUCUGGUUCAUGUCCCAUACAAACAAUUGUAAUCCGCUCAACAGGUUCAUUUGGAUUUUCAACUUUUCUUUUUUCAAAAAUAUCAUACGGUAAAUUAUGAAUUAGUUCUCCUAAAUCUACACGUGUAGUUAUUCGGUUUAUUGGCAUAAUUUUCACCAUUCUACCAUCUAAUUCUCCAUCAUAUAUAUUACUAGCUGACAUUGGUUGAAUUGAUAACGCAUCCAUUACAAGUUGCUUAGCUUCAACUUCGUUUCUAAAGAAGUCAUAAUUAUUCACAUUAUAUACUUCAAAUCCCGUAGAAUUUUUCUCUUCAAUUAAUUUAGCUAAACGUUUGGUUGUUGUCUGUACAGCACCCAAAUUAAUAUCAGCACCAAUAAAUCUACGGUUCAGUUUAGUUGCAACAGCCUGAGUCGUCCCAGAUCCCAUAAAACAAUCAAAUACUAUAUCAUUUUCAUUUGUACUUGCUUUAAUAAUUCUUUCUAUUAAUGCUUCUGGCUUCUGUGUGGGAUAAUUUUGUCGCUCUUUUGCAACAGGAUUGACGGGUGGAAUAUCACUCCAUACAGAAUCUACAAUAUCUCCUUCAAAUUCAUCAAGGUAGAUUAUUCGGGUUCCCCCUCCAGUUGGAUUAACAUCGUCUCGAUAUUUUCUCCCGUUUUCAUCUGUUUUAAAUCUAGAAAUAUAUUCUGCAGAGUGCGGAACAUAUUGAACAUUCCAUGUAUAAUCUUCUCCAUUUGCGUAGCCAUAUAUCAAAUCAUGUUUUUGUGGGAAUUUUCUAGCCGUUUUUCGUUUGAACCCAAAGUACGUCCAAACUAUUUCAUUCAUCAUUUUUCCCGGUCCAAAAACUUCAUCUAAAAUUAUACGCAAAUAACUAUUUUUAUGCCAGUCACAAUGAACAAAUACUAAUCCAUUAGGAGACAAAAGUUCCCGUAUUAGGAUCAAUCGUUCAUACAUAAAUUGAAGAUAUUCAUCAUUAGUCCAUAUAUCACUAUAUUGUUUCUCUUCAAAGGCGAGACUAUCAGAUGUUGCAUCACCUAAGCCUUUAAUCUUAAUUUUUUUUUUAUAAUCAGCUUUUGAAUCAAAAGGUGGAUCAAUAUAGAUUAAAUCGACAUUUCCUCGAAAAUCUUUCAACAGGUGACUCAUUACUUGUAAGUUAUCGCCCCAAAAAAUUUUAUUUAGCCAUCCAGAUUCAUCUGGCUCUCCGUAUGUUUCUUUUAACUGGGCCGGAUAAUAUUGGGUAGAUCGAAAUGGUCUUUUUCCUGUCCAAUGUAAUUCUGGAAACCCCUUAAUCGUUGGUCUCUUUUUUUCAAAUUCAAAUAAUUCCACUUGUUCUGUCAUUUAAUUAUUCUUCCCCUCAACGCGGUUGCAGUAGAACCUCACAUCACAUUCACUGCAAACUUUAUAAUUUGUGCUUAGUAUUUUGAAAUCUUUUUGUUGAAUUUUAUCUACUACCUUCGUAAAUUCGUUUAUGGUUCCUUCAAUUACAUCGCUAUUCUUUGGAAAUGAUAUUAUUGGAUUCUCAUUACUCGCACCGGUGUAGUAUAGCUUCAUUUGUGAAACUGUUAAUCCAUAUUUCUCUUCCACAAGGUGAGCAUAAACUUCUAGUUGUUUCUUAUAUUGUUCAAUUCGUUCAUGUUCUAUAUAUAAAUCAGGUUUUUUCUCAGCUUUGAAAUCCAUGAUUUCAACCGUAUUACCUUCUCCACGCAGUAGGUCAAUCUGACCAUGUAGUAUGAAGUUCUCUUUGACUAGACUUACUUCUACUUCAGCUUCUUGAAUCAAAUACCAGGUAUCCUUCGUAUUUUCCAUAUAAUUUUCUACUUGUUUCCGUGCCGCUUGUUUUGUAGGUUCUGCAAGGUAACUAUGCUGACUUUCCGCUAAACUCGCAUAAUUCGCAUCAAACCACGUAUUUACCUGCUCUGUGCUAAUCUCAUCUCCCUCUCCACGAAUCACGCUCUUAUGAAUAUCUUCAAUGGUCUGGUGAACGAGGCUUCCGAACAAUGUUGCACCUGAACGAACAGGUGAAAAGCCUAACUCCCGAUACAUUUUAUAUUGCAAUGAACAGCGUUCAUACGCUGUAACGUCCGAAGUAAACGCAUAGGAAGGUUUUAUAUCUAUUGGUUUGACAGCAUUUAAUUCAAAUACAGAGAAAUCAAUUUUACUUGGCGAAUACUCAACAAGUGAAUCGUAUGCUUUCCAAAGAUAUUUUGACGGCGAUUGCCAUGACCCCGCAUCCUUCUUUUCGGUAGUCAACACUAAUAUAUCUUGUGCCCGUGAAAAAGCAACGUAAAACAAACGCCAAUAGUCAAAGAUUUUUGUUUUUUCUUCAGGUUCAUACGAAGUUCUGCCUGAGUAUUGUCGAUAAACUUCUUCAAGCAAAUCAUCAGCAUUGUUUUUUGGCCGAUGUUUCAUUGAUCCAACAAAUACUACCGGAAAUUCCAUUCCUUUUGAUUGGUGAAUCGUCAUAAAAGACACACAGCCACUUGGAGCAUACUCUGUCUCAUCCUGGUAUUCCUCAAUCCCACCUUGUCGCAAGAAACGAAUAAAAUUAUUGAAAAAUUGUUCAGGAACACGUUCGAUAUUUUUCUUUGUGAAGACUGAAAUAUUUUCGUUAUACUCAAAUUUCACAAGAAGAUUGCUUAGUAUCGAAAGAUUCCGCACGGCACGUUGAUCAGCCACUCCACUUGAUAAAUCUGUAUCCAUUAAUUUAUGAAAGUAUUCAAACUGUAACAACUGAUAGAACAAACCUGAGAAAGAAUAGUCUGUAUUGCGUAUUAAUGCCGCAUGAUUUAGAGUUAAUUCCUUCAGCCACGGUUGGGCGCGUUUAUCAUUUUUAAAAAAUCUUAACGCUUCGAUUAAACAAUCAUGGUAGUAAUCUUUCAAAUCACCAAUCCAUUGGAACUCAUCACGCUGCAACUUUUGCCCAUAAAGAGGAAAAAGCAGUAACAUAAUUCCUAGAACGAUUUUGACUUCUUCACGUUCAAAAAACAUGUUGGAACGCGGAGAAUAAACACCAAUUCCGUUUUCUUCAAGAUAAUCCGCUAAAUUUUUCGCCUCAUUCCCCUUAACAGAAUUAAAUAGGAAAGCAAUUUGAUUAUAAUCCUGAAUGAAUGGUUCCAAAUCACGAAUCGUUUUUAAAACUUUCCUAUGCCAAUUCUCCGCACUUCCAACACCCGAAACUUUAAAUGUUGCAUUAGGUGUUGUUGGAUUAAACUCAGAAGGAACAAUCGUUUUAUCUAUGCGGUAUUUGUCCCAUUGAAAAGUGAAAUCUUGUAGUUCUUCUGUGUCAUGCAUCCACUUGUUGUAGAAUGAUAUAAUCUCAGGAUUGGAGCGGUAAUUUGCUACUAACUUAAUUUCAGUCGUAUGUUCAAAUUUCGAUGUAAAUUCUAAAAUAUUCCGAAUAGUUGCACCACGAAAACGGUAUAAGGCUUGAUCAUCAUCCCCCACAACACAGAUAUUCUUAUUUUUUGAAAGCAAGAAUAUUAAUUGCUCUUGAAUAUGGUUUGUAUCCUGAUAUUCAUCAACCAUCAUAUAUUGGAAUUGCUCUUGAUAUUUUUCUAAUACCUGUUCAUUAUUUUGCAGUAACUCCAAGCAAUGUGAUUGAAUCAUAGAGAAAUCCAAACGAUUAUGUUUCUGCAAAAUUUCUUCGUAUUUCUUUUUAAGAGAAGCUAGAACUUUAAUUUCAGGGUCAGUUGAUGUUGCAAUAUCUUCAAUAGCAAUUAAUUCUUCUGUUAAUCCAUUGACUAAUUUGCAUAUCUUUUCUGCUCUAUUCCAAACAGGUAAUUUUCCAAUUAAGAUAUCUAAAUCCUGAACACUGCGAAAAUUUUUAUUCAAUUCUUGAUAAACCAAAUACUGUUGGUCGAAAGAAUCUAGAAUUGAAAAAUUCUUACGCAAAGUUGAAUAUUCAAGAUUCUCUUUAAUUAUCCUUAAACACAGAGAGUGGAAUGUACCAACAUACAUUUCCUUUAAGUCAACAUCAAUGUUUCGUUCCAUCAGCGUGUUUGAAAUACGUGUAAGCAAUUCUUUUGAAGCUUUUUCCGUAAAUGUUGUGACGAAAAUUCGAUUUGGUUCAAUUUCCAUUUCCUGAAUUAAAUAAACAAUUCGCAUAACAAGCGUAAACGUUUUACCAGUACCUGGCCCUGCAGAUAUCAAUACCGGCCCAUCUAUAUUGCUAAUUGCCUGUUUUUGCGCUUCGUUCGCACGUCCAAAAUCAAACAUUCUCUCAUCCCCUUCAAAUGGGUCUAACUAUAUGAAUCCUAUUAAUUUUAUGAAAAUCGAUAUUAUGUUGAUAAAACUCUAAUUUUCUUUACCUUCAAAAAUUAAUAUUGGAACUUGUUACAUAGAUACAGUUAAAUAUUGAACAUACGUGUAUCAAAAUUUAAAUUAACAACAUGUAACCCACUAUCCAUAUCAAAGCUUCUUUUAAUUAUUAUACCAAAAAAAAAAUGUUUAAAAAUUGCUUAUUGUAGAAACAAGUUUAGAAAGAUAACAAACUGCUCGUGGUGCAUUCAAAAGAACACAUUGGAGUGUUUACAAAUGAUCUACUCCCAUCUUAGUAUGGAUGAACUUCGAAAUGAUAGAAACUUAUAUCCACCCACACAAAUCUGCUUUAUCGAUUUCAAAAAUCGAUUGGAUAUUCACACCGUAGAUUUUUUCCUGAAACAAGGAAAUACUACAAGACGAAACACUAUUCCAGGAAUACGGAAUAUAACUUCAAACAUUGAAAAAUCUUUCAAUGCCUAGUUCUGUGCCUUUCAACAUACUAUAAAAAUCUCAUUUAUUUAUGAUAAGCAUGACUUUUAGUCACGGGAAAUUAGUGUGACACUCUUUUAGAAUUACCAACGACAACCGUAUCAGUUGAAUCUGUGGUUUCGAUAAAUAACCUCAUUUAUUUGUGAUAAGCAUGCCCAUGGAUAAUCCGGAACGCUCUGUAGAUCUGUUCGACGAGCACGAGGCGCAUGAGUUGGUGCGGGUAGGUCAGUUUGCCGAAGGAGAUGUGUUGGUUGGCGCGGGACAGGACGGCUUGGCUGAGGCCGAGCGAGCCGCCGAUGAUGAAGAUGAUGUCACUUUUGCCGGAGGUGCCGAGUUUGUCGAUUUCGUUGGCGAAUUCCACUGAAUCGUACUGUUUGCCCUGGAUCGCCAUCGCGAAGACGUAGCUCUGUUCCGGGAUUUUGGCGAGGAUUUUUUCGCCCUCUUUGUCCUUGAUCAUUUCCAUCUCUUUAUCGCUCAAGGUUUCGGGCGCUUUUUCGUCCCCGACUUCGAUGAUCUGCAGCUUGCAGUAGCUGCCCAGCCGCUUCGUGUAUUCGGCGAUGCCCUCCUUCAGAUACUUCUCCUUCAGCUUUCCGACUGUAAUAAUUUUUAUGUUCAUUCCUUUUCGCUCCUUUUUGUUCUCAUCUACUAUCCUAUGGGAAUAAGUGCGAUUUCGCAACCGUCUAUUUUUUCUGACGGCUUGUUGACGGAAAUAUAUCUAGGAUUUCAUGUUUAUCUUAUUAUUAACCAACAUGGUUGUACAGUCUUAUUAUAAUAUGAAGAAAAGUGCAAUUUUCGUCUGAAAAAGUCAUGAAAAUCAGUUGCUUUUUUCCGUAAAUGAUUUAAGAUUAAUUUCGAAUGAAGUCACCCACUAUUCAGAACCGCUAAAGUGGUGAGAUGAAUUUCAGUUAAUUAUCGGUGAAUGUUGCUUUUCUUUUCUGCGUUUUGCGUACUUUGAGUAGUAAGUUAAGGUAAGAAACGAGGGGACAAGCGUGUUGAGAUCCUACCAAUUUCGACUCUAUCCAAAUAAAGAGCAGCAGUCCUAUUUUGCUAACUGUUUUGGUUCGGUUAGAUUUAUUUACAAUCAGAUGCUAGCUGAUAAAAUCGAUCACUACAAAAACACUGGGAAAAUGCUGAAAAACACACCCGCUCAGUAUAAAGAGGAGUUCCCAUUUUUAAAAGACAUGGACAGCCUCGCACUUGCCAAUGCGCAGCUGAACUUGGAAAAAGCCUACAAAAACUUCUUCCGGGACAAAUCCGUCGGUUUUCCGAAAUUCAAAGUCAAACACAAAUCGAAGGCGUCCUACACCACCAACAACCAAGGUGGUAAUAUCCGCAUCGAAGGCGGAAAAAUCAAACUGCCGAAAAUCGGCUUCGUCACAAUCAAGCAGCACCGAGAAUUUGACGGACUGAUCAAAUCCUGUACGAUUUCCAUGAACAAGGCCGGCAACUACUUCAUUUCCAUUUUGGUGGAACAGGAAACGCCAGAAUGGCUGCCGGAGGAACACAAAAUCGGCAUCGACCUCGGCCUUUCCGACUUCGCUAUAACCACAAACGAUGCCGGGGAAUCCGUAAAAUAUGCGAACCCGAAAUGCUUGUACCGGUCUGAAAAAAAAGUCAAGAAAGCCCAACGCGCCUUGUCCCGCAAACAAAAAGGCAGCAAGAACCAGGAAAAAGCACGCUUGAUACUGGCCAAAAAGCACGAAAAGAUUGCGAACCAACGCAAAGACUUCCUGCACAAACUCUCCAACCAAAUCACGGACGAAAACCAAGUCAUCGUGAUCGAGACGCUGCGGAGUUCGAAUAUGAUGAAGAACCACAAACUCGCGAAAGCGAUUGGGGAUGUCAGUUGGUCCGAAUUCUGCAGGCAGUUGGCGUACAAAUCCGAAUGGAAAGGCCGGACGCUCAUCAAGGCUGAUAGGUUUUAUCCGUCCACCCAAAUCUGUUCCACUUGCGGACAUCGGGACGGCAAGAAAGCCCCACAUAUCAGGGAAUGGACCUGUCCGGCUUGCGGUGCAACCCACGACCGGGACAUCAAUGCCAGCAAGAACCUCUUGGCGUUAGCCAAGUAAAAAAAUAGGAGGCAGGUACUGCCUUUUGAGCCUACCCAUAUCCAUUCCCGCUGUCUGCAAAGACAUACGCAGGCAAGGAAGGAGUUCGUAGGAAGCUCCCAUUAAACCAAUCCAUAGAGAUUAGUUUAAUGGGGGUAGUUCACGAUACCCUUAUGCUUUUGAGUUGCUUAAUCAUGCGGUAGCAUUAUAAUGAAGUUACAAAUCCUAUCCGCAUGCUAUUUGAGAGGAGAAUUGGAACCAUUGUGUUAAAGAAAUUUUCGGGUUGGUCUGUUUCGCAAAAGAUCGCAACGAGCUUUGCCUUUGUCAUCUUUACCGGAUCGAUUUUACUUACGCUGCCCAUCAGUCAGCUACCCACUUCGAAUGCAACCUAUUUCGACAACUUAUUCACUGCUAUAUCGAUGGUUUGUGUGACCGGCCUGUUCACCGAAUCCGUCCAUGACUCCUAUACGAUCUUCGGCCAGGUCGUCGGGAUGGCCCUGAUGCAGAUCGGGGGCUUGGGGUUGAUGACCCUGAUUGCUUCCGUCAUCACGCGCCUUAAAGGCAGGAUGGGACUGAAGAACCGGCUAGCCGUUCAGGAAGGAAUCAACCGUGGUGACGCGCGCGGCUUUAGGGAAUAUCUAUCGGAUAUCCUGAAAUAUACCGCCGUUAUCGAAUUGACCGGUUUCCUUCUGCUUUCCAUCCGCUUUGUGCCGGAAAUGGGUUGGUCGCUUGGCCUUUUCACUUCACUUUUCUUGGCGAUUUCCGCGUUCUGUAAUGCCGGAUUCGACCCGAUGGGAAACGUCAGCCUCGUGGAUUACGUCCAUGACCCGUUGGUGAACUAUGUCAUCACCUCGCUCAUCAUCCUGGGCGGUAUCGGUUUCUCAGUCUGGUUCGAUGUAUCGAAAAGCGUAAAAUGCUAUUUUGGCAAAAAAUGCAGACCUAGCCUGAAAGUCUUUUUCCGUGGCCUGUCGUUGCAUAGUCGCCUUGCUAUAGGCGUUUCGCUUGUCAUCAUCCUUGUCGGUCUUGUCUUCUUUGUUGCCGUUGAAUACAACAAUCCGAAUUCAAUCGGAACAUUCACCUUCCCGCAAAAACUCAUGGCCGGUUAUUUCCAGACUGUCACCAUGCGUACUGCCGGUUUCGCAACGAUCGACUACACGACCGUUUAUCCUUUUACACUCUUCUGGUUUGUGUUGACCAUGUUUGUCGGUGGUUCUCCAGGGGGUACCGCGGGCGGUCUGAAAACCACGACAUUCGCAAUCAUCUUCCUGACACUCUACAACGAGUUGCGCGGACAGAGCAAUGUGAAUAUCGCGAACCACACAAUCAGCCGCCAGCAAGUCCGUCAGGCUUUCGUCAUCUUUAUGGCGCUGCUGGGAACCUUGAUUCUUGGUACCAGCGUAUUGAGUAUUCUGAAUCCUGAGGUGGAUUUCAUUUACAUUCUGUUUGAAGCAGUCUCUGCGCUUGCGACGGUGGGAGUCAGCGCCAACCUUACCCCAACUCUAGGGGAAUUGAGUCAAGCUGUGAUCAUGGUUCUGAUGUUCGCAGGGCGUAUCGGCCCGAUCACCAUGCUGGACAGCCUAGUCAGACGCACGCAGAAAGUCCAUGAUGUUGAAUUUUCUAAAGGAACUAUCCUGAUCGGAUAAUAGCAAAGAGGAGCGUAUCUACAUAUGAGUAAAUUGGUUGGAAUUUUGGGGCUUGGUAUUUUUGGAUCGACAAUUGCGAAAACGUUGAGCGAAUUCGAUUCGGACGUUAUCGCUGUCGACAAGGAUCCUGAGAACGUUAACCGUCUGGAACCAUUCAUCACAAAAGGAAUCAUCGGGGACGUAACCGAUUUGGCUUUACUGGAAUCGAUCGGACUCGCCGACUGCGAUGUGGUCGUGAUUGCUACCGGUACGGUAUUGGAAGCAAGCGUGCUGGCCGUCAUGAACUGCAAAAAACUCGGCAUCAAGCAUAUCAUCGCAAAAGCCAAAAACAAAAACUACCGUGAGGUUUUGGAGGCGAUCGGCGCCGACACUGUCAUCCUGCCGGAAAAGGAAACCGGGAUGCGCGUCGCCAAAAACAUCCUACGCACAAACAUUGAAGAUGUGGUGAACUUGGAUGCACAGACUUCCAUCAUCGAAUUCUAUCCUCCUGCCAAAUGGGUAGGCAAAACACUCGGAGACUUGGACCUGCGCAACAAAUACGACAUCAACAUCAUCGGACUCCGCAAACACCGCGGCGAGCACCUGAAUGUAUCAUUCUCAGGCGAUUAUGUUGUGGAUAAAGACAUUGUACUUGUGGGCAUCACUGAAUCGGAUGUUUUUGAACGUUAUGACUAUUUGAAUCAACUGACUUGAUUUACUGAGGGCUGUCUCCAAUGGGGGCAGUCCUUUCUUUAUGCGCAGCAGUGCGAGCUACCCGCUUGUCCGAUUACGGCCUCGGUUAUACCCACUUCACACAUUCAACCCACACCUUAUCCACAAAAGUUAUACACCUGUACACACGUUCCCCCGUUAUCUAGUGGUAGCAUUAUUUUUGGCCACAUUAUCUUGAUUAUCCUUAAACUGAAUUAUCCUCCCGCCCCUACAGUUAUGCACACACCCUGUUGAGCAAUCAAAUCGACUUUUAAACCUUAUUUACCAAAGAUUAUCCAACUUUUUUCACAUGCGGUCACAUUUUUAUGCACAGACUUAUCCGAUUUCUGUGGAUAACUUCCGUUUUCAGAAAGCACCGCUCCCAUAACCAUUUACGCGUUUUGCACACAAAAACUUUUUUUCCACAGAAAUUAUCCACAUUCUUGUGGAUUCCUGCUCUUUUCAGGGUUAAAUCGCAAAACACCCCGCACGGCUCCUCUCGAGGGAAGCCAUGCGGGGUGUUCAACGUUCAUUAUUCUUUCAGUUUAUUCGGCUGAAGUUUGUCCUUCGGUCAGUGUUACAGUCGUUGACUGCAGCGUGCCUUCGCGGUAGUAGGAGAUUUCCACAUCGGUUCCCACUUCCAGUGCAUACAGGAUCUUGCGCAGGUCGACGAUGCUCGUCACGGCUUCGCCGUUCAUUUCCGUGAUGACAUCGUAUUGUUCCAAGCCGCCCAAUUCGGCUGCGGACAAGGCUUGAACUUCGGCGAUGACGACACCUUCCGUCACAUCCUCAGGCAGUGCCAGGACAGAGCUUUGUUGGGACGCGGAGAUCUGGGAGAGAUCGAGCAUGGAUACGCCCAGGAUCGGACGGAUGAUUUCGCCGUUCUGCUCCAGUUCAUUGAUGAUGGUCAGGACGUCAUUGCUCGGAAUCGCAAAGCCCAUCCCCUCAACGUUCGAAUCGGAAAUCUUCAUCGAGUUGAUGCCGAUGACCUGGCCGGCGAUAUUGAUCAGGGCACCACCGGAAUUGCCCGGAUUGAUUGCCGCAUCCGUCUGCAGCGCCGUCACAUCCCAGUCGACGAUGCUGUCCCCAUCCACAUCUGUGGAUACGGAACGGUUUUUGGCUGAAAUGAUACCUUGCGUGACCGAAGUCGCGAACUCGGUUCCAAGUGGAGAACCGAUUGCAAUGGCUGGUUCACCCACAUUGACAGCGUCCGAAUCGCCGAAGGAAGCCACAGCAGUGACGCUUGUUGCCGGUAUCGUCAAAACGGCUAAAUCGGUCCAGAUAUCGCUGCCGACGACGGUCGCCACUUCUUUCGUGCCGUCCUUCAUCAGGAUUUCCAGUUCAUCGGCCCCGUCGAUGACGUGGUUGUUCGUAACGAUAUAGGCCAGGUCACCCUCAAUCUUAUAGAUGACGCCGCUGCCCUCACUGGAUGUUUCCAGAGCGCCGUUUGUGGUGUCGGAUGAGUUCUGCGGCAGAUCAAAACCGAACAUAUUCGUGUUGCCCGCCUGCAUAUUGAUGAUGGAAACGACCGCAUCCUGCACCUUUUCCACAGCGGCAGUCGUAUCGCUCGUCACAUUGACGGCGAUAUCCGUCACCGUCUCGUUGACGGACGUGCUUCCGUUGUCGCCUGUUCCGGAUCCGUUGCCGAGGAUGCCCGAACCGAAAAGUAAGCCGGCGCCGAUCAGGGCGACCAUCCCGCCGCCGAUCAAUCCGCCGACGAUGCCGUUCUUGAUCGGUGAAUUUUUACGAUCUUUCGGACGCCUUGAGGCUUCUUCAGUUUCGCUUACGCUGUUGUAUACGCGCGCGCGUUCCUCUUUGUUCAUCGUCGCUCUUGCGGCUGGUUCCACAACCGGUUCUUCUUCGCUGGCCGUUUCUUUUAUUUCAGUGUACUCUGCAUCUAUUUCUGUUUCUUCGGAUAAGUCUUCUUGAUUGUGAUCAGCAGAUGGAGCUUCGGUGGCAGUCGAUUCCAUUUCAGUUUCCGUUUCAUUGUAUGCUUCUUCUGGAUUAAGCGGAUUGUUUUUGUUUUCUUCGUUCCUGUCCAUUGUGAUUCCUCCUUAUCGUUCUACAAUCUCAGUAUAGUCCCUUAUUUUGAAUAAAUUAUGAAGAUAGUGGGAGAAUAUUCGGAAAAUCGCUCCUCAGUGCAUUUAUUGUAUCAUAUCUGCGUACGCAAAAAGGAGCGGAAUCACUCGAUCCGCCCCUUCUGCGCCUGCAAUCCUGCCUGUCGACUAAACUCUGAAAAGCUCGGUCGGCUCGUCCGGAUCGGUAUCAUAUACAAAAAAAUCUUCAUUGACGCCCAUGCCUUUUUGCAUCAGAAUGCUUUCGGCCGUAUGGUGCGCCAACGUUUUGAUGUUGUUGUCCCUACUCAAAUGCCCCAGGUAGAUGCGCUUCGUACGGUCGCCCAGCAUUUCGGCGACGGCGGCAGCCCCAUCCUCAUUGGACAGAUGGCCUUCAUCCCCUAAAAUACGCUGUUUCAGUGACCAAGGGUACCCGCCCAUGCGUAGCAAUUCCAGAUCGUGGUUGCUUUCGAUGAGGUACGCAUCCGCAUCCCGCAAAAGGCCGCGCAAGCGAUCGCUGACAUAGCCGGUAUCGGUCAACAUGACCAUCUGUUUGCCUUCAUAAUGGAAGGAGUAGAACUGCGGCUCGGCCGCAUCAUGCGAAACGCCGUAGCUUUGGAUAUCGACAUCGCCCAAAGUCAGCACCUGGCCCAUCUCGAAAAUGUGCUUCUGCUCGGUCUUGACGUUGCCGAUGAUGUGGUCCAUCGCUUUCCAAGUCGCUUCGUUGGCAUAAAGAUCCAUGUGGUACUUGCGCGCCAGGACGCCCAGGCCGUGCACGUGAUCGCGGUGCUCAUGCGUGACGAGGAUCGAAUCCACAUCCGCAAGGUUCCGGCCAAUUUUUUCCAUCAGACCAGCUAUCUUCUUGCCGCUCAACCCGCAGUCGACCAAUAUUUUCCGUUUCGGCGUCUCGAUGUAGGUGCAGUUGCCGGAACUGCCGCUCGCCAGAUAACUGACAUGCAUGCCUUCUUUUUCUAUUGUCUCAAUCACACUUAGCCCUCCAAUACAUCCAUAAGUGUAACUUAUUUUUUGGAAAAUGCCAGUAAUUUUUCUCCAUGUUAGGAAAAGUUAAUCUUCCGGCACUGCCUGAGGAGGCCACUUAGAAAGUCAUUUAUUUUUUUGUUUUACGCCAGGCUUUCCUGGCGAUUUUGAGCGCGCGCAGCUGGGCUGUCUUCUUCGAUCGGUUCUGUUGGCUCUGCACCAGGAUCGCAUCCAGCAAGGUGAUUCCCUCUUCCACGAAAUCGCCCUUGUUCAGCAUGACGCACUCUGCCUGCCCGGCCAUCGUCGCAUCCGACAUUUCCGCCCGCGUCGGCACGCCGUUCUUCACCAUGUUCUCAAGUACCUGCGUGCUCCAGAUGACGGGAAUGUGGGCAGCUUCGCAGAUCCAGAGUAUUUCCUCCUGCAAUUCCGAAAGCCUCAGGAAGCCGGCCUCGGCAGCCAAGUCCCCGCGGGCGAUCAUGAUCGCCAGUGGAUUUUUGCUGGCGGCGGCGACAAUCAGUUCCGGCAGAUGAUUCACAGCUUCCACCGUUUCGAUUUUGAUCACAAGCGGGAUGGCCGCAGCCGCUUCACUUCCGACCUGCUCCGCCAAAGUUUUCUGGAUAGCGGCAAUGUCCUUGCUUCCGCGGACAAAGGAGAAGCCCAGGAUAUCCGACUCUUUUUCGGCCACCAACAGAUCUUCCCGAUCCUUCUCGGUCAGGAUCGGCAUCUUGAAAGUGGAUUCCGGGAAAUUGAGCCCUUUCUGAGGCUUCACUCUGAUCCCUUUUGCCUUGGCCGCUUUUCCUACCUGCACGACGACGCCUUGCGGUUUCUGCUCCACGACACGCCCUUCCAGUACGCCAUCAUCCAAAAUGACCGGACUGUCGACCUUCAGCUCAUCAAAGAGGUUCAGGCUUUCACUGAACACAAUGAUCGGAUAUUGUUUCAGAUCCUUAAAGGAAGCAUCCGCCGUCAGAAAGAACAAGUCCCCAACCUUAAGGCGCGGUUUAUCCUUUUCGCUGAUGACGGCAUCCACCCGAAUCUUCGGACCUGCGAUAUCAAAAUAGAUGCGGCAACUCUUGCCGGCAGUUUUUUGGGCUUCCUUAAGAUUCUCGAUCAUCUUCAUCCAGACGGCACUGUCGUCAUGGGCGCAGUUGAUGCGGGCAACAUCCAUGCCGCGCUCCAGCAGGCGGACGAGGAAGUCUUUGUCGGUUGCGGCCUGCUCCGGAAGGGUGACCAUGAUCCGGGUCGUCCGGUGCUUCGGCGCAUCGCCCAAUAAGGCGGUCGCCUCGGUCGCCAGUUUUUUCCGGCCCGGGAAUUUCUCGGGCGUCUUCGGAUAGUCAGACAGCUGCUUGAUCGCCCCUGACAUCAGCGCCAAGUUGCGCACAAUCGCAUCCAGUUGUUGGAGUACUUUCGAUUCCGUCCUUCCCAAUGAGGACAAGCCCCAUUUCGACAGUCGGUUCUGCAACGGGCGGAUAUCCCUUCUGCGCAGCGCCAGAUAGUAGGCCAAGUUUUUGGCGCUCAACUCAAAUGCUGUCCGGGAAAUACCCGACUUCCAUUCCGCAUAAAGGCCAUUGCCUUCCUCAUAGACCGCCUGACGGAGCGCCUUCAUCUCCUCGUAUAAUGACAGCAAUUCAUUCCGUUCUUUUUCUUUCAUUCCGCACCCACCUCGGCCUUUCAUCAUCUUUGAAACAAAGGAUUGUCUACUGAAAUAUAACUCGGUAUCUGAAACAAAAACACCCUGCUCUGCUUCAGAAUAGGAUGUUUUUGAAAGUAUGGAUGACGCUCGUCAGAACGCCCCUCCGCCUGAACCGCCACCGGAACCGCCGGAUGAACCACCGCUGAAACCGCCGCCGAAGCCGCUGCUGUUCGAGGAAGUCGGCAUCGAUUUGGUUACACCUGUGUUGAUGCUGUUGUUCAGCGAAGACAGGAAGAUGGCGUUGUUCAUGUAAUAAUAGCUGCCGAAUGCGGAAGCCUGGAUUUCAUUCACCGGGAAUUCGACCUGCAUCUGUUUCAUGACUUUGUCGGCCACGCCCAGAGAAACAGCAUAAACCAAGAAAUGAUCCCAUAAAGCGAUGGAUCCGACUUCACGCAUCGGGAAAUCACCCACGUCCUUCAGCAUAUUGCGGAAGCCGUUCCAUUCCUGCUUCGUCCGUUCACCUUCCGCAGUCAUGAUCGGCUUGACCGCCACUGCCAUAAGCUGGAUGAAGCUGAAAGCCGCACCCAAAACGGCGAGAACGAUUGCCCAAGCGGUAAAAUUGCCGCUCAUGGCGCCGAAGAACACAACAGCGAUCACAAGGAAGAUAUUUGCCACCAAAGCCAGUGCUGCAAAGGCAACGGCUUUCUUAUUAACCUUCGAACGAUAGGUUUUACGUUUUGGCGUGGCAACGUCCAUUACGCGUUCUUGCCAUUUUUCCCGAUUUUCAUUGAAUCGUUUUGCUUCAGCCGAGUUAUCGGCGAUAUUCUCGAUAUCAUCGAGGGUGACGCUUUCCCCAUCCCCGACAUCGCUGAUGAACCAAUCCAAAAGCUGCUUUUCGUGGCUCAGGAGCGGCGCAUUUUUCGUAUCCUUGAUCUGCGUCAGACGGAAGGAGUCUUCCGGCGCUUUUUCCCGCCCGAAGAUCCCUUUUUGAGGAAUCUGCACCGGCGAAAUCGUCAGAUAGCCUUUCCGCACCAGAUCCAGGAUAGUCGCCGAAAUGUCGGCAGCCUGCACAUUGCCGCUGAAGACGGCACCGUUCAUGACGGCCGGCGUCAUAUCCUCAGGCAAUUCAUAGAUAUGGUCCGGCAGAUGGAUUUCCUGCGGGAUUUCUUUUUUUCUGGCUUUCCUUAUCCAAAGGAACACCAGGAUCGGCAGGAUCGGCGCGACCACCGCCAAUACCGCACUGAGGAUGCCGAAGAUCAUCGCAUUGCGUUCUUCUUCCUCCGCCAAUGCGGCUUCCUGCGCCAAGAUUUCAUCGAAUUUGUCUUCGUUCACGACAUUCGGAUUGUCUGCGGUGAUGCUGGUCGGGAAGAUCACAUGGGCCUCCACGAACUGGUUAGCCGGAUUCUGCGGGACAUAAAGCAGGACUUUUUGGUUGUCUUCCAACACUACUGUACUGUUCUCAUCGCCGCCGUGUCCCCAAGCGCGCAAUUCCUCUUCGCCGGUGGCUUCCGGCAAAAGAACGGUGACGUCCACAUCGUUCAAUGGAUCCUCCCAGGCGGAACCGAUGACUUUGCGAUUGAACUCAGCAAUGUCGUUAUAAUUCGUGACGAUUUCGGGAAUGCGGUAUUGGUAGAUGACCGUCUGGAUCUCAUCGGUCAUUUUGUUGUAGACGGUGAAAUUCAGGAAAUCGCCGGUGUUGUCCAGUUUGAACGUUCCCGAUUCCUCCGUGUCGCUUAAAGCAAAAGGGAAAGGAUUUUCCGACAGAUAGCCUUGCAUCGAAACCUUCACGUCUGUCGGGUCCGCUACCUCCGAAAUAUCCAAGUCAUAAAGCACCCCAUUGAAUUCCCCUUCAAAAUCGUAAGUGAUGCUCUCUGUGAAAAAAGCGCUACCAUCCCGCUGUAUUUCAACCAACACAUCAUAAUUCGUAAUCUCAUAGGAACGGGCCUGUACUUCCUUCUGUCCAAAUCCGAUCAAAAAAAAGAACAUGAACAGCACAAUUGAGCCUAUCCGUUUCAUUAUUACCUUCCCCUUCCGAUACCCUCCAUCAAGCUUGUCGCUUCUGAUACCCCCAUUUUAACAAACUUAAGACAGUAAGAAAAGCUAUCCAAGCCCGCUCUGCCUCGAAAGAAAUUUAGGAAAUCUGGCCCUGAAUGAGCAUCGUAGAGCGCAAUGGGUCAGAUUUAUCUAAUUUCCGAGAGGCAGGCUUGGAUAGCUGGACAACUCAUUUUGGUGCACAAUUUUUUUGGAAUCUUUAAAGCACCGAAGGUGAUGCACUUUUGCAAUCUAAAAUAUUAUAGGAUUAGUUAUAUAUUAAAAAAGGAAGAACCUCAUUUCGAGACCCUUCCUUUUUUAAGUGUUGGUUUAGAAAACAAUUUCCGUUUCAAUCCACUGCGUUGUCUGUUUGCGAAGAGUCCUCUUCCUCCAGCAGCAACGCACUGCUGGUGGCUGUCUUCGCCUUGACUUGCGCUUCGGCUGACGGAAGCGUAACGGUAGGCGUCGUGAUGAUGCUGCCGGUCAACGCAUCCACCCGUCUGAUUUCCACAGGCGCAUUCUCGAUUUCAAGCUCGAUAUACCACAUCGGGCUGUAGAUAUCCAUAUCCGACAGACUCAGCGUGCGGUAAUACGUCAAUUGCACCGUCCGCACGGUGGAAUUCGCCGGAAUCUGGUUGUUGAGGUACAGUGCUUCAACCGCCCGCUUCUGUGAAAUCACAGUCCGGCUGUUGCCUUGCACUUCCGCCGUGCCCGCAAAAGUCUGUUCAUAGGAAAUAACCUCAUAAUCGGGAUCCAGGUUGAAAGUGAUGCUGCCCGUACUGUCGCCGAUAGGGAUAUUGUUCGCGACUUGCGCGUACACAAGUUGUCUUCUCAGCGGCAAAUACGUUAGGAAGGUAUAUUCGGCUCCGUGGAGUACGUUGCCUUGCAAAAUGAAAUCCGUGAUCGGCGUUCUGUCGACAAUCGCCAAAUCUUCCGCAUCAAUCUCAAGCGGGAUCGGCUCGGACAAGGUGCUGAACAACACACCAUCCUCAAAGACAGUCGUCUGAUUCACCAAUUUUGACUGAUCGGACUCCAACGUGCUGCCUUUGUCCGUCUUCAGCAAAGGGAUUUUCUCCUGAUCGGACGACAAAGCCGAAAAGCUGAUGUCAUCGGCCUUCAUUGCCUCUUCGAUGUUCAGCGUGCUGCUCUCGGUGCCGAAGCUCAAGGUUGUCGCGUUUUUUUCCAACAGCACACUGAGCAGGUAGAUGUUCAAAGCUGCAAAGGUGAGGAUAAAAAUGAUUUUGAUGCGUCUAAAGUCCACUAUCAUCCGCCUCCGUUUCCGUUCCGCCGAUCCAUUGAUCCAGCGCCUUCCAUGCGCCGUCGAUCUGGAUGAACCAUUUAGGCGUCAGAUUGACGAGACGGUUGGAUUCCUCACUGAAGGUCCAAUCAUACCCCAAAGCGAUCAUCUGAAUCUCUUGGCUGCUGUAGCCACCGGCAUCCAGAGCGGCCAAAAGGUCUUUUCCGCUCAACAGGGUGACAUCCUCUCCGCGAUCCGUCAGCGGCGUCUGGAUGACUUGCGUCAGGAAUUGCAGUUCAGUCAAGGAUGAUCCGGACAUAUGGAUCUGCGUCAAGCCGUAAUCGACUUCCCCGAAGAUCGGAUAGCCGUUCACAUAUCUGCGGUAAUAGACGUUGUCCGUCCCCUCAUCAAACCCAUAGAAGUAAAAAGGAUUCGUCCAAUUGUCCAACAUCUUGAUUUCAUGGAAACUGUCGCGGAUCAGGCGGUAAUCAGGCAGCUCCUCGGCAUCGAGGAUGUUGCGGUAAUAGCUCAACUGCCCUGUUUCCUUAUCAAUGCUCAAUUCGGAGAUGUUAUCACUGUAGCUCACGAAUGCAUCGCUUCCGUUAUCCUUCAGGUCGGUUGUGUCAUCGAAAAGCAGAUCGAUGAAAUAGCUGUUCGAAGGCUUUUCCACCAGAUAGACCAACUUUUCGAUCGUGAUUGCCUCUGUCGGAAGGUAGGAGAUGGAUGAUUCGGAUUGAUACGAUUCCACUUCCAUGUACGCUUCCUUUUGACCUUCGUAAAGGUCCACCAACGGCUGCAGCAGAUUAUCCGGCCGCGCUACUGUGAACACUUGCUUCGUCUCAUCAUUCAGCAGAUAGACGGGAUCUUCCUCCUUUGAGUUGAGGAUGAUCCGAUCGACGCCCUCAUCGUAAUAUUCCUCCUGGAGAUUCGUGAAAUAACGUGAAAGCAGCUCCAGCGGAACCUCCUCAGCAAAGCGGAUUUCCAGUUGCGUCGGCGAGAGGAUGAGCGCAUCAUAGUCCUCCUGCGUGUAGGUGGAGACUCCCUCGAUUCCGUCAAACACGCUCUCACUCAACAGCUCAUUCACGCUCUGCAUGAUUUCGGGUUCCUGCGUCAAAUAGAUGCGCUUAUCCGUAUGGAUGAUCAUCCUGAUCGGCGCAAAGACAUCCUCUACCUUCUUCGUGUUGGUCAGAUUGGCGGAGACGGAUGUCGUCGAAUUUUGGCUUAAACCGACCGUACUCGGAGUGGAAAGGAUCCUUACAGUAAGGAACAGGCUGAUUGCGACCAAAGUGUACAGCAACGCGCUCAGCAUCGGUGAUUCUUUAUGUUUCAUCCCCACUCAUCCUCCUCGUCCAUCGGAAUGUAAGGCAAGGAAAUAAAGAAAGUCGAUCCUUUAUUUUCCACGCUGGUCACCCAGAUUUUUCCGCCGUGCAAUUGGACGACCUCUUUUGAAAUGGCCAAUCCAAGUCCGGUGCCGCCCAUCGAACGUGCGCGGGCCUUAUCGACCCGGUAGAAACGGUCAAAGACAUGGCCGAUAUCUUUGCGCGGAAUGCCCAAGCCUUCAUCGGUAAUGCUGAUGACGACGCUGUUGUGCGUCUCCAUCAGUCGGCAGGUGAUUUUCCCGCCGUCCGGAGAAUAUUUGAUGGCAUUGUUCAUGAUGUUGUCGAUUACCUGGAUAAAUUUAUCCUGAUCGAUUUCGACCCAUAGCGUACGCUGCGUAAAGUCCCGCUCGAUCUUGUAUUUUUUGUUGCGGUACUGUUCCGAUUUCAACACCAUUUCGAAGCGGUCGAUGAUAUGCGCGACCAAUUCGUUGAUGCUGACGAACUCCAGGUUCAGUUCCUGUUUCCCUUGGUCCAUCCGGGAUAAGUUCAGCAGGUCGGUGAUCAUCCGGAUCAUCCGAUCUGUCUCCGUGGAGAUGACCUUCAGGAAUUCAGGAGCGAUUUCUUUAUCUUCCCAAGCACCGUCGAUCAGCGACUCCGUGUAACUUUUCACGCUCGUCAACGGCGUCCGCAAUUCAUGGGACACGUUCGAAACGAAGCUGCGGCGUUCCUGUUCGACUUUUUCCUGCUCCGUAAUAUCGGAAAGCACACACACCAAUCCGCUGAUGAAGCCGGAUUCCCGCUGGAUGACGGAAAAUUCACCGCGCAGGAUCGUAUCCUGAUCGUCUGUCGGGAUGUUCAGGAUCAAUUCAUCCUGCGUCUCCAGCAACUGGCGGAAAGUGAAUUUCUCGCCUAGCUUCAGCACCUUCAUGAUCGAUUGUCCGAUCGCUCUGUCUUGUGAAAUCGAGAGCAGAUCCAUCGCCCGGCUGUUGAUGAUGAUGAUCUUGCCGCGGCGGUCGGUGGCCAACACGCCAUCCGUCAUGUGGCGCAGGACGCUGUCCAACCUUUGGCGCUCCGAUUCUGUCGUUUCCUGGGCAUCCUUGACUUUGUAGGACAGGUCAUUGAUGGUCUCAGCUAAUUCGCCCAAUUCGUCCGCUCCAUAGACGGUCACCUUGCCGGAAUAAUCCCCAUCGGCAAUGUUCGCCGUCUGUCGGCGCAUUUCUGAUAUGGGCCGCGUGAUGCCGCGGGAGAUGAUCACAGCCAGCACAAUCGUAAUGAUGAUCGCCACGACCGAAGCAUUCAGAAAGAUGCUCACCGUCUGGCUCAUCUGCGAAUAGACCGAUUCGAUGUUCGAUUCCAUCACCAAGACGCCGAUCAGGGUACCCGUAUUGUCCGUCGAAUAGAUCGGACUGAUGUUCUUCAGUACGCGGCUAUUCGUGUCUUCCUUCACAUAUUGAUAGGAAGAAGGUGCAUCCAGAAGAAUGACUUGUUGGACAUCCUGAUCGGUCGACUUCGUUCCGAUCAGCGAUUGCAGCGUUUGGUCAUUGAUUCCGAGAAUGUAUCCCUGCUCAUCCAUGACCUGCGUUUCCAGGAUGUUGGCACCCGUAAAAUCGCUGAGGAUGGUCUGCACCGACUCCUCCAGCUUAUCCGUAUCAUCGGCCAUCAGGAUCGGCUGCAGCGUUUUUUCCAGAAAGCCCGCAUUCAGGCUCAUCUGGCUGUCGAAAUUGCUGAUCAUUUUCGUUUCCAGUUCACGGAUAAAAUAAGCCCCAAUCAGUUGCAGGGAUACCAACAGGAGAAGAAUGAACAGCAUCGGUAUCUUGAAAUGGAUGGAGUGAACCAAACGUAUCUUUUUGUUCAUAUACUGUUACUCCUGAUCCGGAUUCUUCAAGAAGUAGCCUACUCCUCUUCGCGUGAUCAACCAAGUCGGAUGGCUCGGUGUAUCUUCGAUUUUUUCGCGCAGUCUGCGGACCGUCACAUCAACCGUGCGGACAUCGCCGAAAUAAUCAUAUCCCCAUACAGUCUGCAGCAGAUGCUCCCGGGUCAUCACUUGGCCGAUGUGUUUCGCCAAAUAAUGCAAUAAUUCGAACUCGCGGUGGGUCAGCUCGAUCUCUACCCCGCGCUUCGACACGAUGUAAGCAUCUUCGUGGAUGACCAAUGCUCCUAUUUUGAUUUCAUUCGUAUCGUCUUCUUCAGGCGGUGCGGCGACCGGAGAGGCUUGUCUCCUCAAAUUUGCUUUUACGCGCGCGACCAAUUCCCGGUUCGAAAAUGGUUUCGUGACAUAGUCAUCCGCACCCAAUUCAAGUCCAAGCACUUUGUCGAUUUCAGAGUCUUUUGCCGUCAACAUGAUGAUCGGCACAUCGCUCGUCUUACGGAUUUCCCGGCAGACUUCCAAACCGUCCAUCUUCGGCAGCAUCAGAUCCAGCAGGAUGAUAUCCGGGCCCACUUCCGCGAACUGCGCCAAGGCUUCUUCACCAUCAAAUGCAGUGAAGACAUCAUAACCUUCUUUGGUCAGAUUAAACUUGAUUAUAUCUGAAAUUGGUUUUUCAUCGUCUACCACUAGUACCUUUUUCAUCUUCAAACCUCCUUGUUUCUUGAAACUCUCUGUCCCAUUCGGAACGUCUACUCUUUAUUAUACAAUUGCAGGCGGUUAUGUGCAAAGCGUUCCUGGAUUACCGGGCGACUGUACCAAAAAGGACGAGCCAUCAAUCGUUUUCCUGACUGAUGGCUCAUCCCCCUAUUAGACAUUAUGGCGUUCGUUCAUUGACUCAUCAGCUGUGGAUGACGACCGGAACCCCGAUACCGAUCAUCCCAUACAGUUCAGCCAUGACCCCCGGUGGCGUAUUGACACAACCAUUCGAUCCGGCAGUAAGCCAAUAUUCGCCGCCGUAAGCAGGCUGCCAGGAUGAAUCGUGGAUACCGAUCCCGGUCCAAUCGACAGGCAUCCAGUAUUCGACAGGCGACUCGUAAUCUUUUUCCGUCUUUGGAUUGUAGCCUUUCAGGACGGCAUCCUCUUCUUUGUUCCAGAUAUAGAAGACCCCAGUCGGAGUCGGUGUCUGCGGGUGUCCGGAAACGAUAUCCGUCUCGAGCGCAACCGCGCCGUCCUUGUAGUACCACAUGUGUUGGCUGGAAAGAUCCACUUCGACAUAGGUAGUGCCGAUGUCCGCGCCGUCCGCGUGAUAGCCGGUACCGUUAUAAUUCGGCGUUACCGUAACGUCCUCACCUGCCAAAACAUAUUCGAUCAGGUUGUCCGUUUCGGCUGCGACAGCCAGUGUCCAUCCAUACGUACCGGAUGGGACCUGGACCGUUUCUCCGUCCGUCGCCAAGAAAUCGCGCGUACGGGAAUAGGUGCUGUAUGUAUCGCUCAGUCCCUGCAGAUAGGCUGCAACGCCUUCACGGUUGACGGACACUUCGCCGUUCUCGUCUAUGCCCAACCAUUCGACGAUGGCUGUUUUCGGAACGGUUUCUGUCUGUCCGGAAAUGGUGUAUUGGAUGACCGUAUCGGUCAAAUCAUCCAAUUUCUUCACUGUUUCCGUCAAAAUUGGAUCGUCCGCGGUCAAUGUCGGUUGCUGAUAGGCCUCUGUCAGAUCGAUUUCGGUUUCUCCGGCAAUGAUCGCUUCCAGCAUCGUUGCCUUCAACAAUUCCAGAUCGACUUUAUUUCCGGCAGUUUCUGGCGAAAUUUCGUAGCCUUCCGUUCCUUUGACGACUGUAGCGUUCACGGGGGCAGUGCGCGUUUCGUUCUCCAACGGCAUCGCCGCCAAGAUGUCCGCCAAAGCUGUUUCAUCCACAGCUACGCCGCUCAGGUCGGUUUCUUCCUGUUUGUCUUGGAACAGCAGGAUUGGCCAAUUCCAACCGCUUUGUUCGGCCUUCAUCGUUUCCAAUUUCUCGGUGUUGUCGAUGGAAACACCCAGCUCAGCGGCUGUGAAUGCAUAGAUGGUUUCUCCAUUUUCGACGAUUUGGAUUUGUGUUUGUGCGAUUGCUGCAGUUGUCUCUUCUUUUGCUUGGGCUACGGUAUCAUUCGAUAUGUCAAUGCCAUCCAGCAUCGUAUUCGGUAAGAAUUUAUCCUCAUAAUAGCUACCUGCACCAAAGUAUCCGGCUGCGACCAAUAAGACCGCUGCAGCGCCAAUGAUGAUGGGUUUCUUUUUCACUUUCAGACCACCUUCUUGUUUUAUUACAAUCAGAUUACGUUUUCGUUACAAAUAAUCAUAACUUACUUUUUAUUACUUUACCAUGUUUUCUUGAAAAAUCAACCUAUUUUAUCUUAAUUUUUUUAUAAUAGGCCGAUUCUUAGACACUCAUCAUAAUACCAAUGCGGAAGAAAUGCAAACAGACACGUUCCGUUUUCACCAGCCCCGCAAUCCUCCGGGCGGGCUGAAAUGGGCGGCACCGCAAGGUUUUCCUCCGAUGAACGCAGGCUUCGCCGGAGUUUGAUUACAUUUUGUCUGCGUUCUCUGAUAAGGACCGCUUCCUCGGAGUUGCGGCCGAUUGUUACCGGUCUGCUCCGGCGGGCGGCCGCUUGCCGGAGUUGGGACCCGUUUCACCGGCUCUCCUCCGGCAACCUGGCGCCACGCAAAUCAAAAAAGGCCUGUCUCAUUUCGAGGCAAGCCCUAAAUUCCUAUGCGCGAUUCUGUUUCUCCGCUUUGAUUUCAUCCAGGAUGUAGCCGAAAUCGAAGUCUUCUUUCUUUACGAUCAGCAACAGGCCAUCGCCCAAAGGCACGAGGGAAGUUUCCAAUGCCGGGUGGUCCAGCACGGUAUCCAUCAGCUUGUUCAGGCGGCGGUGGAUUUUGCGGACCCGUUUGGGAACGUCUGCUUCAUCAUCCAGGAUGGUUCCGCCUUGGAAAACAUCAUCGAUGACCAGCAUGCCCUCUUUCUUCAGAAGUCUCAUGCAAUGAGGCAAAAAUUCAUAAUAUUUGGAUUUCGCGCUGUCCAUGAAGAUGAAAUCAUACGGCCCUUCCAAAGUAGGCAGUACUUCCGCCGCAUCGCCUUCCAGCAGUGUCACUUUGUCCGCGAUGCCGAGUUUUUCAAAAUUCGCUUUGGCGUGGUUGAUCAUGACCUCAAAACGAUCGAUGGUCGUGACGUGGCCUUCCGCUCCGACGUGCUGCGCCAUCAGGCUGCCUGAGAAGCCGAUCGCCGCACCGAUUUCCAGUAUCUGUUUGGGUUUGAUCUGGCCCAACAGCAUAUUCAGGAAAACGGCUGUUUCGUGAGGGAUGAUCGGCACGCCUUUUUCAUUCGCGGUUUUUUCCAGUUCCCCCAACCCUCCCGGGAAACGUUUCAGUCUGUCGCGCAUAAAAGCGACCAGUUCUUUCUUUACGACGGGUCUGUUCAUCAUUUCGUUCAAUGCCAUACUUUUUUCUCCUUAUCGCAUACUCUUUUAUUAAUGGCAACAAGGCUGGGAAUGGAUCCCAGCCUUGUGCUUAUUCGUCUUCGACAACUGCUUCUUGGACGGGCUCUCUUGUGACACGGAUGCCACGGAUCCGGCCGCUUUCGACUUGCGUAGUCGUCAGCAGGUACUCUUCCGCCUGAAUCGUCGCCUGUUCAUCAUCUUUCGGAAAAUAGCCGAGUUCCUCGAUCAUGUAGCCGGCGAUCGUGUCCACUUCUUCGGAAGCGAUCGCUGUCUUGAACAAUUGAUUGAACUUGUCCAAUGGCAUGCGUCCAUUGACGACAUAAUGAUUGUCAUCGAUUUUUUUCGAAAGGCGGUAAAUUUCAUCAUAUUCAUCUUCAAUGUCCCCAACGAUUUCCUCCAGAAGGUCCUCGAGGGUGAUGAUUCCCUCCACGCCGCCGUAUUCAUCCUUGAUGAUGGCCAUAUGCGUGUGGGUCUUGCGGAAUUCAACCAAAAGAUCAUCGAUAUAAAUAGUGGAAGGGACAAACAAAGGCGUGUUGACCAACUCACGGAAAGAGAUCCGCUCGAAACCGACUUCCUUUGAUGCCUUCAAAACAUUUUUCAUAUGCAGAACGCCGAUGACAUUGUCCUUGUCUUCCUCGUAGACCGGAAUCCGGGAAUAUUGACUGUUCAGAACCAGCGCGAUAUUGUAUUCCAGAUCAUCAUCCAAAUCCAUCAUCAAAGUGUCGGUACGCGGCACCAUCAAUUCGCGGGCAAGCUUCGUGUCCAACGAAAGUACCCCCUGCAUCAUCGUGAACUCGGAUGGAUCGAUGACCCCUUCGCCUCGGCUCUGCGCAAGGAUGGCCUUCAUUUCAUCACGGGUGAGCUUCUCUUCCUCAUUCGUGAAUUCGAUCGGCGUCAGCUUUUUCAGGAUACCUGUCGAAAAGGACAAAAGCCAAACGAACGGCUUGAAGAGUGUCUUGACGACAACGAUCGGUCCUGCAGUAUGGCGCGCAAUGCUUUCGGGCAUCUGCAAGGCAAUCUGUUUAGGGUACAGCUCACCAAACACGAGCGUGAUAUAGGAAAGGACAACAGUGAUGAUGAUCAUCGCUAUCGUUUUGCCGCCUGCGAUGCUUCCCAACAACGGUUCGAUAUAGCCGACGAAAUUGGAAGAAGCUGACGCACUGCUGAAGAAUCCGGCAAAUGUGAUGGCAACUUGGAUAGUGGCCAAGAAAUCAUCCGGAUUCUCCAAGAGACGCAAAACCUUCUGCGACUGCUUAUCGCCGUCUUUGGCAAGCUUCUCGAUUUUGGAACGGUUGAUGGAAACAAAUGCUAAUUCGGCUGAGGCAAAAUAAGCAUUCAGUAAAGUCAGGGUUAGGAUCAAUGCUAUUUUUGAUAAUAACGACUGGCCUUCGGGGUCUGGGUUCAUAUGAUUUUUUUCUCCUUUUGAAUGAUGACUCACGCAACUGGGACAUGCCCUGAAACAAGACACUGUGCAGCUGCAUAAAAAAAUAUAGAUUGUGUUCAAUUAUAUACUACUUAAUAUAGUGAACUCCACUCGAAAAAUCAAGAGAUUUUUCAUUUGCGGGCUAAUGGAGCCCCCUUGCUCUUCACCUUUCAGCCUUUCGUGACCGACAAGUGUUCUCAUUCCAAUCUAAUGUUCAAUAAAUCCUGGCAUCCUCUUGGAAGGGCUUUACCGCUUGAUUUAUCAAAUGUUUAAGAAUUUCCAAGUAUGCGUUUAUAACCGUUGCUUUUUUUCAUUUUAAUGUUAUUAUCACAUUAGACAACCGUGUUUUUAGGAGGAUUUAAACUAUAUGCUUAUCCGCUCACUUGCCAUCCCCAAAAGGGAGUUGACCAUCGUCAAAGAGUCAGCCACGCUUCGGGAUGCACUGGAUAUCCUUGAAAAUUCCGGCUACCGUUGCGUUCCGAUUUUGGACGAAACAGAAACCAUUUUCCGGGGAAAUAUCUAUAAAAUGCAUAUCUAUCGGCAUAAAGCGAACGGCGGCGACAUGAACCUGCCCGUCACGCACCUGCUGAAGAAUGCCACAAAAUUCAUUUCGAUAGACAGUUCAUUCUUUAAGGUAUUUUUUACCAUCAAAGAAUUGCCCUACAUUUCCGUUUUGAAUAAGGACAUGACCUUUUACGGCAUCCUGACCCACAAUGCCUUGUUGAACAUGCUGGCCCAAUCGUGGAGCAUCGACGUCGGCAGCUAUGUGCUGACGGUCAUCGCACCCGGCCAAAAAGGCGAUCUGUAUCAUAUCACCAAGAUCAUCAACCGCUAUUCCUCCAUCGCCAGCUGCAUUUCCUUGGACAUCAACCGUGAGGACGCUUUGCGCAGGGUAUUGGUCACGUUACCCGCCGGCACUCCCAAACAGGUGCUGGACUCUAUCGUAAAGGCGCUGGAGCGCAAAGAUUUCCGUGUGACGGAGAUCGAAAACCUGCAAGUUGAUUUCUAAAAUCCAACCCGUCACAUUAAGUGUCCGGAGCGGCGUUUUCCCGGCGAGGCGGCCUUCAUCGGGAAUUCCGCUCCGGACGGGUGGCGUUUUCCCGGCGAGGCGGCCUUCAUCGGGAAUUCCGCUCCGGCUCCAGACGCCUGCUCGAUCUAAUGCCUAAUUAAAAAAGUCGGACGAAGCCUUGUGCUUGUCCGACUUUUUUUGCGCGUCACCUGAUCAGCGGGUAGCGCCAUUCAGAUAGGGGUUUGAAUAUAUUUCUUCCCUUACUGUCGUAGGAUCGCCGUGUCCCGGGAACAGUACUGUUUCCCCCGGCAGGGUUACGAUAUAUUUCUGGAUUCCUUCAAUCAAGGUAGUAUGGCUGCCGCCCGGCAAAUCGCUGCGGCCUACGCUCCCUUUGAAGAUGACAUCCCCAACGAUCGCGAACCCAUUUUCACGGAAAAUGAACACGGUGCUUCCUGGCGAAUGCCCAGGAAUGUGUUGCAUCUCAAAGCGGAACUCGCCGAUUUCGUAUGGCCCCAUCUCUUCGAAGAAGACAUCCGCUUCUUUCGUCAAUCGGACAUCCGGAACGUUCGGAUUGCCUGCAGAUCCAUUCAGUUGCGGAUCCAACAACCACUCCCGUUCGAUUGGAUUUUGAUAGACGGGAACGUCGUAUUUUUCCCGGAUCGUUUCAAGGGCUCCAAUGUGAUCAUAGUGCGCAUGAGUCAACACGAUCGCUAUCGGAUGCAACUCAUUCUCUUCGAUGGCUGCGAUGAUGUCCUCCGCUUGCUCACCUGGAUCAAAGAUGAUCGUGUCAUUUUCAUGGUCUCCGAUCAAAAAAUAACAGUUUUCCUGGAUAGGACCGACUGUAAUUGCGUACAUUUCCAUAUACUGAUUCCCCCCUCUUUUUGGAUUACCUCUCUAUUAUAAGAGAACGAUGAGAAAUAUCCUAGCAAAAAACGGGGAUUUUUGCUGUUCAUCCAGCAAAAGCCCCCGUUCUCCCGUUUUUUUCAUAUUAAUUUUUAAUGGAUCAAGCCAUUUUCUCGGCAAAACCGAUGAUCUUGUUCAUGUACUUCAUGAGCGGUGCUGACACAACCAGCACAACAGCUUCACCGAAUGCCGCUGUCACAAAGCUGAACCAGAAAGGCAAAUCAAGAACGAUGUAGAGCUCGAUUGCGACAAGAACCAUCGUCACCGUGAAGACGAACGCGGUCAUCAUCAUGCGUUUCAUUUCAGAAUCGUUGGGUUUGAAAAGUUUCUCCAGAAUAAGGAAAGAGAUCAAUGUCUGUCCAAAUCCGAACACCAAGUCCCAAGCCCCUAAUGUUGAAAAAAUCAGAUUGGCGAUAAAAACACCCGCCAAAACACCGUAUUUAUAAUCUUUGUGGUAGCCCACCAAAUGAUUCAGCAUUUCUGAAACGCGGAAUUGGACGGCACCGAACGACAUAAAAGCAAAAAUCCCUGUCAUAGCGACAUAAAGCGCUGCGAUAAUUGUAUUGAUAACCAUUUUUUUUGUACUCAACCUGAAAACCUCCUAGUUUUUUUUCGUGGGAUGGUAGACGAACCACGCACUCUUCCAAGAGCUAAAACAGUUUACCAUACAUGUUCGCUUUUGAAAACGACUAACGGCGCAUUUUCAUCUGAUUUUCAUAACAAAAAGCCGCCUGGCCUUUAGUAGGCACCGGGCAGCUUUCCUGAUUUAUCUGUUUUUCUAUUUGUAGAUGCGCGGAACGCGGGCGUUGAUUCCCGUCAAGAUUUCAUAGCCGAUCGUAUCGAUUGUUACCGCCAUUUCGGAUGGAUUGUUUACGAUUCCGCCGUUUUCACCCAGAAGUGUCACUUUCGUCCCGACCGGAUAUUCUUUCGGAAGGCUGAUCAUGCAUUGAUCCAUGCAGAUGACUCCCCGGAUCGGACAGCGCUGGCCAUCGACGAUGACGGUCUGAUGGCGAAGAUCCCGUCUCCACCCGUCGGCAUAGCCGAUCGGAAGUGUAGCGAUCCAUUCUCCCUCAAAAGCGCGGUAGCGGGCGCCGUAUGCGAUCGUGUCGCCUUCAUGCAUCUGUUUGACAUAGCUGAUCUGCGUAUCCAACUGUACGGAUGGCUUCAGUUCAUAAGGAAGCUCCAACACGGUGUCGGAAGGGUUGUAGCCGUACAUAGCGAUUCCGACGCGGACCGCAUCCGUCCGGAACGCUUCAUGCCAAAGCGAAAUCGCGGAAUUCGCCAGAUGCACAAUCGGCGGCCGUUGCGCCAUCGCCUGCAAGAUUUCUUCAAACAAUGUCAGUUGGCGUUCCACCAAUGUCGGAUCUUCGCCAUCGGCCGUUGCGAAGUGCGUAAAGAUGCCUUCAAACACAAAGCCACCCAGUUCGGCAAGGCGCGUUUCGAAAGCUUUGACCUCUUCAACCGUGCGCAGACCGAUGCGGCCCAUGCCGGUGUCGAUCGCCAAAUGGACACGGACCGGCAGAUCCGUUUUUCGUUCCUGCAGAUACGGCAAGGCCGCCUCCAGCCAUUCUGUUGCCGUGACAGCCACGCUGAUUCCGUUGUCGGCUAUGAGCGCAGCGUCUUCUGCCUCCGUUGGGCCCACAACCAUGAUGAAAUCAUCGGACAGCCCAUUCUCCCGCAACUCCAUUGCCUCAUCCAACAGCGCGACACAGAAGCCGUCCACGCCAGCUUCCUUCGCCUUUUUCGCGACCGGGACAGCUCCCAGUCCAUAGGCGUCAGCUUUGACGACCGCGAAAAAUUUCUUUCCAGGCGACAGGCCCUUCCUGAUUUGUUGGAUGUUCCACGAAAUAGCUUCCAAAUCGACAGUUUCUAUUGUGGGACGGUGCUUUCCUACUACCAUGUGUAAAAGACCCCUUUACUUUUCUAGUACCACUUGCGCGGCAAUGAUGUUCCCCGAAUGGGUGAUGGAAACGAAUCCUGUCCCUUCAAACGGAGAUUUGGUUAUUUCAGGCUUUCGGUUCUCUCCUGGCAAAAUUUCGAUGUCUUGGAAAGACAGCUUGCCGAUGCCUGUUCCGUAAGCCUUCGAAAAAGCUUCUUUCGCGGCAUAGCGUCCGGCCAGAAACUCCAUUUGGCGUGAUCCGCUCAAAGCCAGGAACAAUUUCAGUUCCGCUUCGGUCAAAACCCGUUCCGCAAAACCCGAACGCCGAUCAUAGGCUUUCGUGAUGCGGUCCAGCUCGGUUACGUCCAGUCCUAUUCCAUAAAUCAUUCCAAUCACCGCCUCUUCUGCAUGCAUUGUUCUCAUUUUACCAAAAAAACAAAAAAUUUCCAGCAUAAGAAAAACCUCUUCUCCUGGCGCAGGCCAAUUGGAGAAGAGGUUUUUGAUUAUGGAUUAGUCGUUGUUGUUGCGGAUAGUGAAGCUAUGGCUGCUUUUCUUAGGUGCGCCGGCACUGCCGCCGCCACGUUUUUCAUCAUAGCGUUUGCCGCCGGAGCGUGGUUUGCUGUCGCUUGAGCGAUUUUUGUUGCCACUGCGUUCUCCGCUGCGCUCUCCGCCGCCACGUCUGUCUGAUGAACUACGGUUACCUUUGUAGCCGCCGCCACCUUUACCUUUGUAACCACCGCCGCCUUUACCUUUUCUUGAAGGCAAUGGGCGUUCUGGUGUGAUUUUAACAGGAACAUCAGUAGCAUCUUUAGAAAGACUCUUCAAGAAUGCUGCCACCAAAUCUUCAGCAGUGUGCUCUUCAAGCAAGCGAACAGCUGCACGUUUGUAUUUGUCUGUUUCUGUUUCUUUAACCAAUGUUUCCACUUCAUCCAUAGCUGUUUUCACUUGGCCACGGAAAGCUUCUUCAUCACUCGGUGGUUGUAAUGGAGUGAUUGGUUUUUUGGUUAAGUUUUCGAUUGUACGCAAGUAAUCCAUUUCGUUUGGUGUAACGAAAGUCACUGACAUACCUUCUUUACCGGCACGACCAGUACGGCCGAUACGGUGAACAUAGCUUUCUGGAUCUUGAGGGAUAUCGUAGUUGUAUACGUGUGUAACACCUGAAAUAUCCAAUCCACGAGCAGCAACGUCAGUCGCUACCAAGAUGUCCAAAUCGCCUGUCUUGAAUGCGUUCAAUACGCUCAUACGUUUUUGUUGCGUCAAGUCGCCGUGGAUUCCUUCUGCACGGUAACCGCGUAAUUCCAAACCUUUUGACAAUUCGUCUACACGACGUUUUGUACGGCCGAAUACGAUAGCCAAUUCAGGAUUUUGCACAUCGAACAAACGAGUCAUUGUAUCGAAUUUUUCAAAGUCUUUACAUUUAACGAAAUACUGAUCGAUUAAGUUAGCUGCAGUGUGUGACGCUUUGAUUUUGACAUGCUCUGGAGCGUGCAUGAAUUUAACACCGAUUUUUUUGAUUGAGUCAGGCAUUGUAGCUGAGAACAACAAUGUUUGACGUUCAGCCGGUGUUUCGCUCAAGAUUGCUUCGAUGUCUUCCAAGAAGCCCAUGUUCAGCAUUUCAUCUGCUUCAUCCAGAACUAAUGUUUCGAUGUGAUCCAGACGGAUUGUUUUGCGUUUGAUGUGGUCCAAAAGACGACCUGGCGUUCCGACAAUAAUUUGCGGUUUGUUUUUCAAAGCACGGAUUUGACGAUUGAUGUCAGCUCCACCGUAGACAACCUGCACGGAUACUUUUUUGUCGCGGCUCAAACGGUACAAUUCUUCUUGCGUUUGGAUAGCCAACUCACGUGUAGGUGCAAUAACGAUACCUUGAAUAACUUUGUUGUUGUUGUCGAUUUUUUGCAGCAUAGGCAAUCCGAAAGCAGCUGUUUUACCAGUACCGGUUUGUGCUUGCCCAAUAACGUCCAACCCUUGCAAUGCCAAAGGAAUGGUUUGUUCUUGGAUCGGUGUUGCUUCCUCGAAUCCCAUUUGUUCAAUCGACUUCAAUAACUCCGCGUUUAACCCUAAUUCUGAAAAUUUCAUGUUUCCUCCUAUGAUUGAGAAACUAAAAUUUAGAGAGUCUUUUCUUUUACCCACAUAUCUAAUGCGGUUCAUAAUCUUAUAAAUAAAAGAUAAACCUUUUUUACUUAAUCCCUUGAAUAGAAAGCUUGAUAAAUCAAACAUUCUGCACUUCGCAGAAAAAACCCUCUUAUUUCUCUAUUCUUACCAUCAGCAAUAAUAACACGUUCCGCAGAGUUUUACAAAUCAUUUUCUCUUAAAAUAAUGAAAUUUCUUACAAAAAAACCUUGUUGUAAGGAUAUUUCCAAUGAAAAUGACAAGUAGCCCUACAAUUUACCGACAAUUGACGCAUGCGCUCCAAAUUGGCUGAAAAAGGUAAUCCCUUGCUUUUGCGACGACACGAACCAUCCAAAUCCCUUACGGUUACUAUUAUACACGCAAAGCUGCCACGACCGCCAAUAAAUCAGUGCCGAAACUGGAUUUGAUCAGCACUUGGUCGGCUUUUUGAAGCUCUGCCUUCAGCUUUUCGAUCAAUGGCGCCUUCUCCCCAACAUAAUGAUAAAGUGUCCCUUCCGGAAAGGCAGUCUUUAAGUUUUCAUAAAGAGCCCCCAUUUCCGUGCCGUAAAGAUAGACCUGAUCAAAAUCUUCAGGGGAAAUUUCAGUUGCCAAGGCUGCGUGCAUCUCAGCAGAACGCUCGCCCAAUUCACGGAUAUCACCGAGCACCGCAAUUUUCUUGCCCUCCCGCGGCAGAUUCGCGAAUGAGCGCAGCACAGCCGUCAUCGAAGUCGGACUGGCGUUGUAAGCAUCAUUCAACAGCUGCGACCCAUUUACGCCAUCAAGCCACUGUGUGCGGUUGGCGGUCAGCUGAAAGGUCGCCAGCGCUUCCUUCACCUCAGCGAUCGUCAUGCCCAGCACUUGGGCAGCGGCUAACGCAGCCAAUGCAUUCCGGACAUUGUACACGCCCAAUACAGGAAUCUCCAGAUCGACGUUCGGAUCCAGAUUCACAUGGAAAGUUGUUCUGGUUUUGCCAGGAACGAUGUCAUAGGCAUUGACCGCAGCCGUUUCGUCCGUACCGAAAGUCAGUUGGCGGAAGUUGCUUUCCUGAGGCAGCUCUUCAGCAAUCAACGGCUCGUCGCCAGGAUAGAUGAACGUCCCUUCAGGCUUCAGCCCUUCCAGGAUUUCCAGCUUGGCUCUUGCGAUGCCUCGGCGGCUCCCGAGGAACUCCAGAUGGCUGUCCCCGAUCAAGGUAACGAUGGCGAUAUCCGGUUUUGCCAAUCGGCUCAACAAGCUGAUUUCGCCGAAAUUACUCAUGCCCAUUUCAAGCACCAGCACUUCCGUGUCUUCCGGCAUCUCCAGAAUGGUCAUUGGCAUGCCGAUUUCAUUAUUGUAAUUUCCCUCCGUCUUGUGGACACGGAACCGCGCGGACAGGACAGCAGCCGUCAUAUCCUUGGUGGUCGUUUUCCCGUUGCUGCCGGUGAUUGCGACCACUUUUGGUUGGAUCAUAUCCAGGUAAGCUUCCGCCAGCUUUUGCAAAGCUUCCAGCGUGUCAUCCACCAGAAUGACGGCAAUAUCUUCUGGCGCUUCUCCUGCUGCACGGCUCCAUAAAGUUGCUGCCGCCCCGUUUUUGAUUGCCGAUUGGACAUAAUCAUGCCCAUCCGUUUCCCCCUGCAAAGGCACAAAUAAACUGUCGGGCAUUGCUUUACGGGAGUCAAAGACAACAGAAUUUAUUUCAGCGAAGCGGUUGGCCGACGUAUAGUCGAUCGCUCCAACAGCUUUCACAACAUCAAUGAUGCGUAAUGGUUUCAUACUCAGUUCCUCAUUUCCGGUUUUUUCGGCAGCUCUUCGGCUGCUCUAAAAAAAGACCGUCCUUUCCCUUUGGCUGCAGCAAGCAUUCCAUGCUUUCAGUGCUGCUGGCGAUCAGGAAAAUCACGGCCUUUCGUUCAUCAUUCUACAAAUUGAUAGGAUACUUUUUCUUCAUGGCGCUUCAAGGCCAACUGGAUCAACUCUUCCACCAAGUCGCUGUAUUUCAAUCCAGUUUCUUCCCAAAGCAACGGAUACAUGCUGCGGGAAGUGAAGCCAGGCAAAGUGUUGACUUCGUUGAUGUAGAUUUCAUUGUUUUUGGUCACAAAGAAAUCGCAACGGCUCAAACCGCUGCCGUCAAGCGCCCGGAAAGCGAUUGUUGCAUAAUUCUGCAAUUUGGCGGUGAUUUCUUCCGGUAACUCAGCAGGGAUCUGCAGCAAUACUUCUUCAUUGCCGUACUUCUCUUCGUAGUCAUAGAAGUCUUUGGUUUUAACGAUUUCACCGGGUACGGAGGUAUGCACAUCGUCAUUUCCCAAUACCGCGAUUUCGAUUUCGCGGGCUUCGAUACCUUGUUCAACGACCACGCGACGGUCAUAGCGGAAAGCCGUCUCGAUUGCAGCGGUCAACUCUUCAAGAUUCGUAGCUUUGGAAAUGCCGACGCUUGAGCCCAUAUUGGCUGGCUUUACGUACAUUGGGUAAAUCAGGCUGCCUUCGCAUUGGAUGAAGAUCUUCUCGCGGUCAUUUUUCCAGUCAUUACGGGUGACUGCAACAUAAGGCACUUGCGGCAACCCUGCCUGUUGGAAAAGAUGCUUGCUGACGAUUUUGUCCAUCCCGCUGGCGCUGGCAAGGACUCCGCAGCCGACGUAAGGCAUAUUCAGGACUUCAAACAGCCCUUGCACCGUACCGUCUUCGCCGUUUGGUCCAUGCAAUACCGGGAAAAUGACAGCAUCUUCAGACUGGAUAUCUGCAGGUGAAAUAAGUUCGCCGUAGGAUUUCCCAUCCUGUGAAUCGGCAAAGCGCUUCUCGGAACCUGGCUCCAAGUAAAGGUUCUCAGAGAAUGCCACUGGUUCAGAAAGGGAUUGCCCUUGAAUCCACGCGCCUGCCUUAGUGAUAUAGACGGGCACAACUUCAUAAUAGUUGAAAUAGAUCGCUUUUAUGAUUGAAUGUGCUGUCAGGAUCGAAAUAUCGUGCUCAGCGCUCUUUCCGCCAUAAAUCAAAUAAAUUUUCAUCGAGAAAUCCUCCGAAUUUUUUGAUAACUGCUUUAACUCAAGAAACAUUGUACCACAUUUAUUUUUUAGCUAAAACGAUUUUUGUGAAAAGUGGAUUGGCAUCCCUGUUGGCGGGGCCAAAACAUACAGCCCGUCUCAACGGAUACAGAAAAAGCCUAAGUUUCGGCUUAGGCUCUCAUUCAAAGUCUAUGUCUAUUUUCCAUUCAUUGCGAUCCAUGUCAUAACAGAUGGUGCCUACCGAAUCCUUUUCGUUGAAACGGCCGCCGAUGCUGGCGUAACGGUCUUCCGCGAUGAACAACGGGAUGCAGUAUGUAUUCCCUUCGAUGCUCAUCUGCCUGAAGGAGAUCACGGCGCCUUCUUUGAAGAUCGGAAUGAAUUCCUUCACGCGUUCGAUCGGGAAUGGCGCAAUUUCUUUGCUUUUCUGAUAGAAACGCUUCUUCUCAUUCACUUUUUCCUUCAACUUGACGGUGAUGGCUUCGGCGAACAACUCAUGGAAUUGCUCCAGGUAGCGAUAAUACAUUUUUAUGAAGCCAUUUGGCAAAGUGAGGUAGAUGUAGUUAUUUUGUAAUUUAUAAUAGAACGGUGAGUGCAAGUGUGUAUGCGCAUGGGCGAUAUAAAGGAUCUCGGAUAUUUCGAUUGGGGUGAGGAGAUGCAACAUGUCCACAUUCACAAAAUCAAUCCACUUCCCCAUAGCGGCUUGAUUGUCCGUCCCUUUUUGGAAGAACGCUUUUACGUUUUCCUGGCCUUUGAUCACCUGAAAACCAGUAUGAUUAUCAUAUGUUCCUAUACUUUUUCUUCCGUCCACCAACAACAAGUUUUCUGGAAGCUUCCGGGCUAACUUUGUGUAAUCUUUCACCGCUAUCCCUUUGCUCAAAACAUAAUUGCUGACUGUUUCAUAAUGAACAUAUAACAUAUCUUCGCUCAUGAAUGAUCCCCCCCUUUCCAAAAUAUCCCUUAUUGUCAUUCUACUACUUGCAAAACCGAUUAAGGUAUCAGUACCAUGUUAAUAUUAUUACAAAUCCGUAUCUUUUACAAAGAUAAUUUGCCUUUUUCUCCUAUUUUUUUUCACAGCAACAAACUGAAAGGGUUUUCACUUCAAAAACCGAACUUUAUUUAUGCAAUUUGAAUAAAACGUCCGAAAAAAAGAAGCUAUUUACAUAGCUUCUAAUCGUUUGAUUCGGUUUGCCGUUGAGGGGUGUGUCGAAAACAGGCCAUCACUUUCUGCUUCACCCUCCUUCAGACGUUUGAAAGGAUUCACAAUAUAGAGCGAGGCACUGGCAGCAUUCGCCGCCUCCAUCGGUUCGCUUGUCGCUAUUUUGAUUAAAGCGGAUUUCAGCCCUUCCGGAUUGCGCGUGAACUCGACCGCACUCGCAUCCGCCAAAUACUCACGGUUGCGGGACAGCGCCAGACGGAUGAUCGUGGCCACAAAAGGCGACAGAACCAGAAUCAACAAGGAAAGGAUCAGCAAUAUGAUGCCCGCCCCUCCGCUGUUAUCGCUUUUGCGUCGUCGGCCGCCACCCCAAAACAUCAUCCGGGUGCUGAAUUGGGCCAAAAAUGCGAUCAAUCCGGCGAUAGCCAAAGCGACAGUGGAUAGGCGGAUGUCGUAGUUGCGGAUAUGCGCGAACUCAUGCGCCAGCACCCCCGUCAAUUCUUCCCGGUUCAACUUCUCCAACAAGCCAGUCGUCACGGCAACGGAUGCUUUUUCCGGCGAAUUUCCGGCCGCAAAAGCAUUCGGGCUUUCGUCCUCAAUGAUGAAGAUUCUCGGAAAUGGCAAGCGUGUCACGAUCGUCAUUUCCUCGACGAUAUUCCAGAGCAUCGGGAAUUGCGCCUUAUCCGUUAUUUCCCGGGCAUUGUUCAGGCUCAUGACCACUUGGGUGGAUUGCGCCACCAUGAUGAAGACGUAGACCACUCCGAUGAUCAACGCAAGCGCAAGCCCGGACAAGGCAUUAUCCCAAUUCAGAUAGCCGAUGGCCGCCCCCAAUGCCGCAAACAGGAGAAAGAAUAAGAAUACGAUCAAUACAGUGCGCCGUUUAUUCUGCUCAAUUUGUUGAUGGAGCAAAGGUACUCACCAACUUUCCAUCUAAAUCAUAUUUACUCAGAAUGAUACUUUCGGUACAUUUUUUUCUUCUUCCGGGGUAGCCAGAACGACUUCCGGACGGAAACCAUGGACACCUGCCACAACAUUGCUCGGGAAUGUCCCUAAUUUGAUGUUGUACUGCGUAACGCUCGAAUUGUACAAUUGGCGCGCAUAAGCGAUCUUGUUUUCCGUUGCGGACAAUUCUUCCUGUAAAGCCAGGAAAUUCUGGUUCGCCUUCAGAUCGGGAUACGCUUCCGCCAAAGCAAAGACGGUCCGCAAUUGACUGGAGAGUUGAUUGGACAGUUCCAUCUUCUUGGCCGGAUCCUCAGUACCCAUAUCGGAAAUCAUAUUGCGCAGAUUGAUGACUUUGGUCAAAGUUUCUUGUUCAUGCUUCGCAUAGCCUUUGACUGUCUCAACGAUGUUCGGGAUCAGAUCGUUCCUGCGUUUCAAUUGGACAUCGAUCUGGCUCCAAGCUUCCGUUACCCACAAUUUAUUUUUCACAAGACUGUUGUACAACGAAAUCCAUACUGCCCCGAUGAUCGCUGCCACUACAAUGAUUCCUAUUAACCAAUCCAUUUUGCUCACAGCUCCUUUUCUCUCACGCCGCCUCUGCGGCUGACCUAGACAACUUUCCGUCUACACCUUUCAUUAUAGAAGAGUCUAUUCGUUUUGUAAAAAAAUAGACUAACUAUCUCUGCGCCGAAAAGUGCUGGCAUCUGUGAUAUCAUAAAGGAAAGAAAAUCAGAUGAGGUGUCCACAUGUAUUUCAUCCCGCAACACACUUUUAAAUAUCCGCCCAUCCUCUUGAAAACCAUUCCUCUGUACAAAGGCGUCACUGCAGCCGACCUGCCCCGGGCCUAUCUUGCCCUGCUGGCGGAACAGAACGGCGGUUAUCUGUUGUGCUCCCGCAUCCCGACCAAAGAGCCGACAUCGGACGGCAUCGAUUAUGCAGCGGUGCAUGAGAUUUUGGGACUUCACGAUGAUCCCAAGAGCAGCCUGUAUGCCCAGCAAGAAAUUGCCCGUUCGGCGGGUCUUCCGGAUUAUUUUGUACUUUUCAGCAUCAACGGCAGCCAACUCUUUGCCUUCGACUAUUCAAAAUUGUCCCCAUCCGGAGAGCCGAGCAUCCGGCAUAUCGAUAUCGAAACGGACAACUGGCAGACUGUCGCUGCCGAUUUCGAUCAAUUCCUGCGACUUUUGACUCCCGCCCCCAUUGCCGUUCCUGAAGAGGUCCGGCUCACGCACACGGAAGGCGCGCAUGCCUUUUUGCUGGCCGAUUCCGCGGGAUUGCCGGAGCUGUUUCUGCACUUCGAGGAUGACCCCGACAAACAGUGGUAUCUCCAGUGGAUCGCGCAUUUUUCCGACCAUCCCGAUGCGGCCUGCCGAAGCAUCGCCUGUGAAGCGCUCGAAACGCAGAUACUCUACUUCAGGAACGAGCUGCCGGACACCGUCCACGCGGUGCUGGCAAAGUUCCUUGCCGAUCCCGACCCUGCGAUCCAGGAGCUGGCCGGAACGCUGGAAAAAGAACUGGCGGAUGAGUGAAUACAACACCAACUCCGGUGAAGAAGUGCUCGCCGGAGCUGGUGCCGCGAAAACAUCGUCACUUUCGAUGAGGAAGUGCUCGCCGGAGGAGGAACCGCAAUAGCAGUCGGAACUCCGGCGAAGCCUGCGUUCACCGGUGGAAAGAGACACAAAAAACUACUGCCAAAAGCAGGGAAGUGCCGUAACGCGGUACUUCCCUGCUUUUGUUGUUAUCCUUGUUCCUUCAGCCACUGCUGGUAAAGGUUCUUCGUUUUGUGGCCUUUGCCCAGUAUAUCCAGCAUCUCGGUUUUUCGUUUUUCCUGCGUAGCGGCUUGUUUGGCGCUGUAGAUGUAGCGCGCCCAAUCCCGCUGAUAGCCCGGCGUCAGUUCCGCAUAAAGCUUUGCGGCAUCCGGAUGCCCUUCUUCCAGAUACUGUUUCACAUCCGGGAUGAAUUUCUCAUAGUCCGCUACAUUGCCGCUGCUCGCUUUGGUUGGCUUGCCUUUUCCUUUGACAUCAUUUUUCAUUCCGACGAGCGUGAACGUAUCAUCCAGCUUGACCAUCCGCGCAAAUUUCAGGGUGCUGUCGCCGACAUAGCCGUUGCCGUCGUCCACGCCAAGACUGGGAAAGAUGGCAUCGCGAUGCACGGAUGUGUCAUAGGUUUUGUUCCCGAUUUUCGGAUAUGCGAUGUAAAGAUAGCCUUCCGGAUUCAAGCGAGCUUGGUUGAUCGUAUCCCAUACGCACUCAUUCAGCUCCUCCAACGUCAGCACAUAGGAAAAAAUCAGAUCGUAUUUACCGGAACCCAAACCCGUAUCAUAGGCUUCCAGAUCCGCAAAAUCGUCAGCGAUGGCGCGCUCUUUCCCCAGAACGGCACGCUUUGGGAAUUUGUCCAAUCCCAGCCGCUUCGUGAGGGAAUUCGAAGCCGGUAGCGGUUUGUCGGCGGUCCCGCCCCCGUAAAGUCGGGUCGCAUGAGCGAUGUUUUCGCGGAUCAUGUCCUUCAGCACAGCGGAAUCGAUAUCGGAAAGCUUAUUGACGUAAACGCAGCCCUUUCCGAUUUUGUGUUUGCCGAGUUUCGCAAGCAGCUCCUCCCGUCUUUCGUCGGGCAGCAUAAAAUAAAGCGUCAACGCCGUCUUGCGCGGCGAAAAGGCAGCCAGCGGGGCAUCGCCUUCAUGACCGGUCGCGUACCGGUAAUGAUAUUUCCCAAAGCCGAUGAUGCUCGGCCCCCACAUUUUGGCUUCCUCUCCGGUCACUUCCGCAAACAACGACAACAGCGCAUAAGCAUCCUCUUUCUUUUGCGGCUGUUGGAUCUCCUCGAUGAACUCCUCCACGGACACUUCCGUGGGCUUGGUUUUAGGUUCGUAUGCCAUCUUCGCUUCUCCUCUCGUUUCCUUGUUAAAGCUAUCAUAGCAAACCCAUCGACCACCCGCAAAAUCCAAGACUUGACGACAACUGGUUCAGCGGAAAUAUACCGUUUCUGUGAUGAACGCAGGCUUCGCCGGAGUUCGGCCCACAUUUUCAGCCUUCAGCUCCGACGGGGUGGUGCUCAUCGGAGCUGGCUCCAUCAAAUUACCGAUUUCCUCCGGUGAGCAGGCCCUCCCCGGAGCUGACGCACGUACCCAGAAAAAAACCGGUAGAAACAAAAAAAGAGCCCUCCCGAAACCGGGAAAGCCCUCCUCAAGAAGAUUACUCUUCUUCUUCUUUGUUUUUGAAACCAUACUUUUUGUUGAAGCGGUCCACACGGCCAUCGGCUUGCGUGAAUUUUUGACGUCCAGUAUAGAAUGGGUGUGAAUCAGAAGAAAUUUCUACACGGAUCAUUGGGUAAGUGUUGCCAUCUUCCCAUUCAACUUUUUCGCUUGAACCUUUUGUUGAACCUGAUAAAAAUUUGAAUCCUGUAGUUGUAUCCAUGAAUACAACUGGUUGGUAAUUUGGAUGGAUUUCUUGUUUCAUGUCUCUUUCGCUCCUUUUGCCCUGGAUUAUUUACUAAGCCAGAGUUGUCUUUUUGUAAUAAAAGGUAUACCGCAGGGUAAUCCUUUUUAACGUUAAAAUGAUACCACGCAAACAACAAGAAUGCAAUGACAAAUUAAAAAAAUACGUUUUCCCCCUGCAGCCAGUGCCGAGAAAAACGUAUUUUUUAUUAUUUAUCCAGAAUGGCUGCAAUCUCUUCUUCCGAAAGGCUGCUGUCGGCAUUCAGAUUUGUGAAUUGACCCGGUCCAUCGAUUCGUACAAGAGCAGGCACCGUACGGACGCCCAUUUUGUCGCGCAGGCUUUGGAUAGCUGGGUCUGUCGGCGUAUUCUGGCUGUCCAGAUAGUGGAUCGUCAGGUUCUUUUCCUUGCGGACAUUGUCCAAUUUAGGGACAAAUUUCCGGCAGUACGGACAAACGGCCUUCCCUAGAUAAACGACCGCUUUUUCUCCGGCAGCAAGUUUCCUUUCAAACUCCUCAGCCGUUAUCUCUAUGAAUUCUUGCGUGUGUUCUUCAUAAGUUCCUUUAUUGAACAGCAUUUAAAAACCUCCAGUUUUUGCGUUUUGAUAGUCCCACUAUACCGGGAAGCUGUAAAAAAUGCUCAUGAUUUGCUCACACGCUGUAAGGUACGCUUCUAUUUCAUCAACGAAAUCCGGUUCAGCAACGCUUCAUUGUUUUCGGUCGUGUUCAUCUGUUUCAGGAAGCUCUCUGUAUAUUCCAAAGCAUCCCCGCGCAUGCCGCGACGGACUUUGUAGAUACUUUCGAGCGUUUUCGCAUCCAGCAGGAGGUCUUCUCUGCGGGUUCCCGAUUUUUUGAUGUCGAUGGCAGGGAAGAUGCGGCGUUCAGCCAACUCACGGGAAAGCACAAGUUCCAUGUUCCCAGUUCCCUUGAAUUCUUCAUAGAUGACUUCAUCCAUCCGGCUGCCCGUAUCGACAAGCGCAGUUGCGAUGAUCGUCAGACUGCCGCCAUCCUCAAUAUUCCGGGCUGCACCGAAGAAACGUUUCGGGCGAUAAAAGGCUGCCGGAUCGAUCCCUCCGCUUAAAGUACGGCCGCUUGGCGGUAUGACCAAGUUAUAGGCACGGGCCAAACGCGUCAGGCUAUCCAUCAGAAUGACCACAUCACGUUUGUCUUCGACAAGGCGCAUGGCUCUUUCCAGGACAAGUUCCGUCACCCGGACGUGGUUUGCCGGUUGCUGAUCGAAAGUCGAGGAUACGACAUCGCCCUUCACACUGCGCUCGAUAUCCGUCACUUCUUCGGGACGCUCAUCGAUAAGCAGCAUGAUCAGUUCAACAUCGGGAUGAUUGGUGGUGAUGCCGUUCGCGAUCUCUUUCAGCAGGGUCGUUUUCCCUGCUUUAGGAGGCGCAACGAUCAUCCCCCGCUGGCCGAAGCCGAUGGGCGAGAACAAAUCGAUCAUCCGAGCUGUUACGUUUGUACGCGUGGUUUCCAACUUCAUCUGAUGGUUCGGGUAAAUCGGUGUCAGCCCCGGGAAAUGCGAGCGUUCUUUGGCUUGAUCCGGCCGUUUUCCGUUCACUGUGCUGACUUGCAUCAGCCCGUAAUAACGUUCGGAUGCUUUCGGAGGUCUGGCUUUUCCGGCCACUUUGUCCCCGUUGCGCAGAUCGAAGCGUCUGAUUUGCGACGUCGAUAUGUAAAUGUCUUCCUGGCUCGGCGAAUAGUUGAUCGGCCUUAAAAAUCCGAACCCUUCCUGGGAGACGAUAUCCAAAAUGCCCUCGGUCAUGAAGAACCCCUGCUUCUCCUCUUGGGCACGGAUGACCGCCAAAGAUAAUUCUUUUUUGUUCAUCUGGCUAUAAUACGGGAUCUUCAGGUCUCUGGCAUAGGUGUAUAUUUCUUUCAGAGUCUUGCUUUCCAACUCUUGCAAGGUAAGCAUAUCUUCCAAACAGCUCCACCUUCCUCUCUUAUCAUUCUUAUGAUGCUUGUUUUUGGCAAAUGCAACAUACAGGAAUCAAAACACCUUCAAAGUCGUUUGCUGCUUUGAAGGUGCUCAUUAUUAUCGUGUCGUGCGAGGAAGUUUAUUCUUCGUCUUCGAUCAUUUUGAUGUCCGCGCCCAAAGCAGUCAGUUUUUCGACGAUAUGAUCAUAUCCGCGCAGGAUAUUCUCGAUACCGGAAAUCGUGGUUUUGCCCUCCGCCAUCAAGCCGGCGAUGACCAGGCAGGCACCCGCACGCAAAUCGCUGGCCGUAACUUCCGCACCGGUCAAUUUGUUUGGCCCUUGCAUGAAGAUCAUGUCACUUUCCACCUUGGCCUUCGCACCCAUCCUGCGGAGUUCCGGGAUAUGGUUGACGCGUUUCGGAUAGAUCGUAUCGAUGAUGGUACCGUCACCGCUCGCUUUCAGCAAGAGCGGAGUCAGCGGUUGCUGCAGAUCCGUCGCAAAACCGGGAUAAGGCAACGUCUUGAUAUGGACCAUCUUCAGGUUAUCGGAUUUUUUGACCAGAAUGCUGUCCUCACCGAUUUCCAUAUCCACACCCAUUUCUUCCAUUUUUGCGAUCAGGCUUUCGAUAUGCUCGACAAUCACAUUUUUCACAAGCACACGCUCACCCAUUGCAGCCGCAGCGGCCAGAUAGGUCCCCGCUUCGAUGCGGUCAGGUAUCACCGUGUGUCUGCAACCAUGCAGGCUCUCCACGCCUUCGAUCCGGAUGAUGUCUGUACCGGCUCCGCGGAUUUUUGCCCCCAUGUUGUUCAACAAGAUACAAACAUCAAUGAUUUCCGGCUCUUUGGCCACAUUCUCAAUGAUUGUUUUGCCUUUUGCUUUGACCGCCGCCAAGAUGAUGUUGAUCGUCGCUCCGAUCGAAACCACAUCAAGAUAGAUGCGCUCGCCUUUCAGCCCCUCUUCCGGUGUAGUCAGGUAGAUGGCACCCAUUUCGUUGCGCACUGUCGCGCCCAGCGCCUCGAAACCUUUGAUGUGCUGAUCGAUCGGUCGUGGGCCCAAGAAACAACCUCCAGGCAGCCCGAUGACGCCUUCACCAAAUUUCGAAAGGAUAGCUCCCAUGAAAUAAUACGAAGCACGCAAGCUUUUGAUUUUUCCGGUAGGCAUCGGAAUGGAAAUCAUGUUGGUCGGAUCGAUUGUGAUGAUGCCCUCAUCCUCUUCGAAUGACACUUCGACGUUGAAGUCCUCAAGGAUAUCAAUCAGAGAGUGCACAUCCUGAAUGUUGGGGAUGCCUUCCAAGAUGACUGGGGAGUCCGCCAAAAUGGCAGCCGGAAUCAGCGCAACUGUACUGUUUUUCGCUCCGCUGAUCGUGAUUUCACCGUUCAACGGUUUAUUCCCCUCUAUAACUAAUUUUUUCAUAAAAAAGCCUCACUUCAUGUGUAGUUGCCGAACGACAAAUCGCCCGGAAAUAAAUGGAAUCGUUCACCCGGAUUGCCUAUCACAGAAAAAACGGUGCAACGAUACCGAAAUACCAUUAUUUUUAGUUUCAUUCGAUUGUUGGUUGAUCAUCUACAAUUCUAACAAAAAUACAGGGUCCAUUACUAGUUUUUUUAUGCAAACGUCUACUUUCCGCUAUAUUUCUCAAUUUGAUACGGCCGAACAGCGUGAAAAAUGACUAUUAUGCUUCAAUUGAAGCAAACUGUCCCUAUCUUAUGAUGUAAUGUUAACACAAACUCAGAAAUAUAUGGAAAAUGAGGCGCCGAUGCACAUACGUUGAGGAAAAUAAGACAACAAAAAAAGGAGAUCCGGAACAUAGGUCCCAGACCUCCUCGAAGAUCGUUUGAUUAAAUUAAGCUUUGUUGCUUGAACCGAAAACUUGCAUUCUUUCUUUAACGACAGCAACGAUUGCUUCUUUACCAGGUCCGAUAACUUUACGAGGAUCGUAAACGUUAGCGUCUGUAGCUAAUUUUUCUCUUACAGCAGCUGUAAAGACUUGUUGGCAUUCAGUGUUUACGUUGAUUUUUGAAUGUCCGAACUCGAUAGCUUUUUUGAUUUGGUGUUCUGGAAUUCCUGAACCACCGUGCAAUACUAAUGGUUUGUGAGUCAAUUCAGAAAUUUCUUUCAUUUCGUCGAAACCAAGUACAGGUUCGCCAGAGUAAGGUCCGUGUACGGAACCUAAUGCAGCAGCCAAUGCAUCGAUAGCUGUUUCAGUAGUCAAACGUAGGCAUUCAGCCGGAUCAGCGUAUUGGAUUCCGCCAGUGAUUCCGUCUUCAGUACCGCCGACAGUUCCGAUUUCAGCUUCUACAGAAGCGCCUUUAGAAUGUGCGUACUCAACUACUAAUUUAGUUUGUGCAAUGUUUUCAUCGAUAGGGUAAUGUGAUUUGUCGAUCAUUACAGAUGAGUAACCAGCAUCGAUAGCGGAUUUGCAGCUUUCAAAGCUUGUACCGUGAUCAAGAUGCAAUGCUACAGGAACAGUGAUGUCCAUAGUUUCUAAUAAAGCAUUAGUCAUAGCUGCAACAACUAAAUGUCCGCCCAUGUAUUUUGCUGCGCCUUCAGAAACACCCAAAAUAACUGGAGAUUUUUCUUCUUGUGCAGCUUGCAAUACAGCUUGCGUCCACUCAAGGUUGUUGAUGUUGAAUUGUCCUACGGCAUACUUUCCUUCUAACGCUUUGUUUAACAUAUCUGUCAUACUUACUAAACGACUCAUUCUUGUUGCCUCCUUGGAAUCCAUUGGUCUCUUUUGUUUGCAGAAAAUUCACAUAUUGGAAUGUGAACACUUUACAACAAUUACAUUUUAUCAGAAAAUGUAAUUUUUUACUACCUUAUUAGGAAAAUCAGUCAAAAUGAAAGCGCAAAAUAAUUCAUUUUUAUUGAAAAAAACUCUGAUUUACAGGCUUUUUUCCAACGCCGCUGCAAUGAAACCGUCAAAGAUCGGCUGCGGUCUGUUCGGGCGUGAGAUGAACUCAGGAUGGAACUGGGCAGCAAUAUAGAACGGAUGGUUUUUCAAUUCCACAAUUUCCACUAAGCGUUGAUCAGGAGAUACACCUGAGAAGACCAUGCCUUUUUCGGACAGCGCUUCACGAUAAGCAUUGUUGAAUUCAUAACGGUGACGAUGACGUUCUUGCACCAUAUCGGCGUUGUGGUAAAGUUUCUUAGCCAACGUGCCUUCCUUCAACUCGCAAGGAUACAGGCCUAAACGCAACGUUCCGCCCAUCUCGUCGAUGUUCUCUUGGUCCGGCAUCAGGUCGAUGAUGUUGUUUUUGCAUUCCGGAUUGGUUUCAGCUGAAUCCGCGUCUUCCAAACCGACAACGUUACGGGCAAACUCCACACAAGCCAAUUGCAUCCCUAGACAGAUACCGAAGAACGGCACAUUGUUUUCGCGUGCGUAUUGGAUGGCAGCGAUUUUGCCUUCGAUACCGCGGUCUCCGAAGCCACCAGGGACCAAGAUGCCAUCUGCAGUAGCCAAGUGUUCUUGCGCGUUCGCAGUAGUCACUUCUUCCGCAUUGAUCCAUUGGAUAUCGAUUUCCGUAUUGUGCGCAUAACCGGCAUGCUUCAAUGCUUCCGCUACAGACAAGUAAGCAUCCUGCAGUUCCACAUAUUUUCCGACAAGCGCGAUUUUAGUCGUUUUUUCAAGGUUUUGGACUUUUUCGACCAACGCUUUCCAAUCAGUCAUAUCGGCUGGCGGCAGAUCGGACAGACCAAGAUAAUCGCAGACGAUCUGAUCCAUGUUCUGUUCCUGCAGCAUCAAAGGAAUUUCGUACAAAGUUUCCACGUCACGGGAUUCGAUGACCGCUUCAGGUUUCACAUCGCAGAAGGAAGCCAGUUUGUUUUUGAUGUGUUGCGGCAAUGGCAUUUCUGUACGCACAACCAGAAUGUUCGGUUGGAUACCAAGACUGCGCAAUUCUUUAACGCUGUGCUGCGUCGGUUUUGUCUUCAAUUCGCCGGCUGCGCGCAAGUAAGGGAUCAAGGUUGUGUGGAUGUACAGCACGUUUUCAGCGCCUACUUCCAUACGCAUUUGACGCAAGGCUUCCAGGAAUGGCAAGGAUUCGAUAUCCCCAACUGUUCCUCCGACUUCGGUGAUGACGAUGUCUGAAUCCGUCGUUUCGCCGGCACGCAUAAUUUUUUCCUUGAUUUCAUUCGUGAUGUGCGGGAUGACUUGGACAGUAGCCCCUAGAUAGUCCCCUUUGCGUUCUUUACGGAUGACUUCAGAAUAAACUUUUCCGGUCGUCACAUUUGAAUAUUGAUUCAGGUUGAUGUCUAUGAAACGUUCAUAGUGGCCCAAGUCCAAAUCAGUUUCGGUGCCGUCAUCCGUGACGAACACUUCCCCGUGUUGGUAAGGACUCAUCGUGCCUGGAUCCACGUUGAUGUAAGGGUCGAAUUUUUGGAUCGUGAUCUUCAAUCCCCGGUUUUUCAGCAAACGUCCUAAAGACGCCGCAACGAUACCUUUACCGAUUGAUGAUACUACCCCGCCUGUUACAAAAAUAUACUUUGUCAUUUUUUCUUCCCCCUGUUUUUAAAUGUGCAAAAUUAUGUCCGAAGGAUCCUCCAACGCUGCAAUAAGAAAAGCUGAACGGGUUCGUUCAGCCCUGAAAGAAUUUUAGGAAAUCGUGCCAUGCAACGUUCCCUACGGUCACCUUGUACUGGGUCUCUAAGGGAUGAAUCCCUAAGACUCUCAUGCAACUGAGCAUCGCAGAGCGCAAUAGGUACGAUUUAUCUAAAUUCCGAAGGGCUAACCCGUGAAGCUAGCCAUCUUUUUAGUUGCAGGAAAUAUUUUACAAGCAUCUAGAACACCUAUGGUGAUGCACUAAAAACUUAUAAACAUCCCACUCUUUCCUGCCUGCUAAAAAAAAUAAAGCUCCCUGUUCUUUAAAGAACAGGGAGCUGUAAAAAUUCAACGUAUGCUUUCCAAAAAGAAUUGCUUUUUGGGAGCCCAAGGAAGAUAAUACAUCCAAUUACAUAAGGUGUCAAGAAAGAAUUGAAUACCGGGGAACGAUUAUUCCUCGUCUUCCGUUUCUUCCGCAACGAACUCUUCUUCCUCUUCGAACUCUUCUUCGUCUUCAAACUCUUCAUCUUCGAUGAUCAAGGUCAAGUCUUCUUCGAUGCCGCUCGUGAUGUCAUCAUCGUCAUCCGUGAUAUCCACAGCGUCGACGUCAUCGACUUCAUCCUCAUCCACAUCUAUUUCUUCAUCUUCGUCAGCAACAUCAAUAUCUUCCGGAUCGUCAUCAUUAUAAUCGAUAACAUCAUCAUCAUCUUCUGAUGUAGCGAAUGCAUUCAGCUUCUUGCGUUUCUUGCGGCGGACUUUCACUUCGUCCUCAUCGAUACUGGAAAGAAUCUCUUCAUCGAUUGAAUCAAUUGGAUACCAUGAACGCAAUCCCCAACGAUUUUCUCCUAAAGAAAUAAAGCUGCCAUCAAUGUUCAAGUCAGUGUAGAAACGUGUCAUCUUACUUUCCAAUUCUUCUUCCGACAUUUCAAGAUAGUCCUGUAUCUGAACCAAUAAUUGGUUAAAGUCCAGUACGUCACCGUUUUCUUCGAAAAUUGCGUGUGCAACUUCUAUCAUUGACAAUUCGUUUUUGCUAGUACCAUCUAAUUGCUUCAAUUUCAAUGGUGUCACGUCCUUUCAAAAGUUUACUCUUAAUCAUACAAUACUCAGGUGGUAAAUUGCAAUUCAAUUCGAUAAUCUCCCAAUUUUUGUUCAUUCAUCUGGAGCUCAUAAUGCAAGGUUACUUUUCCGGCAAACGGUUUUUCCUUGAACUCCAGCAACAUUUCAUGGGUGAUCGUUUCGAUUUCCAUCAAUCCGGCCGGCGUCGGAACCAUAGCCAUGCCUUUUCCUUCUGCAUCGAAGGUCAUACGGCUCGUCUGUUCCAUUCUGCGGAUGAUCGUCAUCUUGCCUUCACGGGACAGUUUGAACGUAACCGGGACAGCUGUUUCCGCUUCGAUAUAGCGCAGAUAGAGCCAAUUGCCCAUUUCCACGAUUUGGCCCAUUCCUUCAUAUAGGAAGCUUUCCUGCUCCCCUUCUUGCUUCACCAGCGUUUCCAAUUGGAACUCGAUGGGCAUUCCUUCAUUUAAAGACAAGCUUUUCCACCUCAUUGACCAUCGUGCGGAAGCCUCGCGGUCGCACGUGUUUUUCAAAUACAGUAUAGCGGUACAAAUGAGCGCUGGUCAAUCAUUUGCGGGCUGAUUUUCCAAAAUGCUAAGAAAUCCUGCCUUUCUGUGCAAUUCACACUCAAAUCUUUCCGGAACUUUGCUAUAAUGGGAGCAGAAACAGCCCCAAAGAUAAGGAAACGAACAUGACAAACCAUUUAAAAAACAACAUUUAUCAUAUCUACGAUACUUCAAAUACAGCAUUCGGAGUUGACCCCCUCUCGCACUUCGCGAUGGGCGAUGCACUGAUCAGAUUGGUCGGGAACGCUGAAGCUCCGGCAGCGUUGCAUUUUUGGCCGAUGGAAAAGCUGGUCAUCCUGGGCAUGAUGGACACCCGCCUGCCCCAUCUGGAGGACGGGCUGCGUUACUUAAGGAACGUCCCGACCGAUAUCGUCGUCCGCAACGCCGGCGGAUUGGCCGUCGUAGCCGAUGAGGGAAUCCUGAACUUCUCCUUGGUGCUUCCGGAAACCGAAAAAGCCAAACUCACCAUCCAUGACGGUUAUGUGCUUAUGAAAGAACUGGUUGAGCAGACUUUUUCCGAUUCCGAACAGGUGAUUGAAGCCUUCGAAAUCAGCGACUCCUAUUGUCCGGGCGACUUCGAUCUGAGCAUCAACGGCAAAAAAUUCGCCGGCAUCGCGCAGCGCCGUUUCAAAAACGGUGUGGCCAUCAUGAUCUACAUGAGCGUGACCGGCAAUCAGCAGCAACGCGGAGAAAUGAUCCGCCGCUUCUACGAAGAAAGCCUGCAAGGCGAAGAAACCCGCUGGCAUUUCCCGGCCGUCGAUCCCGCCUCCAUGGCAAACUUGGCGGAAUUGCUGGACAAACCGUUGACUGUAGCUGAUGUAAAAGAACGGAUCCUGUCCGUUUUCACCCGCAACGGCAACACGCUCCUGCCCGGAGAAUACAAUGAGCGUUUGAUGGCGGAGUAUGAAACAGCUUAUGCGAAAAUGAAGAAACGCAAUGAACAAGUCAAUCAGGAACAGUAUCCCGAAGCGGACUGACAGAAAGAGGCGAUGCGAUUUGAGUACACACUAUUCCGCGGAAUUAUUGCCGAAAGAAAAAGUAUUUCGUGACCCUGUCCAUGACUACAUCCACAUCCAGUACCGGAUCAUCAUGGACCUGAUCAAUACACCCGAAUUCCAGCGUUUGCGCCGGAUCAAGCAAUUGGGGACUUCUUCCUAUACUUUCCACGGCGCCGAACACUCCCGCUUCAAUCAUUCUUUGGGAGUCUACGAAAUCGCCCGCCGGAUCUGCGAUAAAUUUGUCCGGAAUUAUCCCAGCAAAGAGCCUGGGGAUGGCCUUUGGGACGAUAGGGAGCGGCUUGUGACGCUGUGCGCCGCUUUGUUGCACGACAUCGGCCACGGACCGUUCUCGCAUACCUUUGAAAAAAUAUUCGAUACGGACCAUGAAGCCAUCACAAUCGAGAUCAUCACCUCCCCGGAUACCGAAAUCAAUCGGAUUCUGCAGCAGAUCGGCCCGGAUUUCCCCAAUCAGGUUGCCGCCGUCAUCGCCAAAACCUACGAUAAUCCGCAGGUCGUCCAGCUUAUUUCCAGCCAGAUCGAUGCGGAUCGGAUGGAUUACCUGCUGCGCGAUGCCUAUUAUUCCGGCGUAACUUACGGCAAUUUCGACCUGACGAGGAUUCUGCGUGUCAUCAGGCCCUACGAGCAUGGGAUCGCCUUUGACAUUUCCGGCAUGCAUGCGGUGGAGGAUUAUAUCGUCAGCCGCUAUCAAAUGUAUAUGCAAAUCUACUUCCACCCGGUUUCCCGCGGCAUGGAGGUCGUGCUGAGCCAUCUGUUGAAACGGGCGAAGGAUGUCUAUUUGGAUGAAGAGGCCGAAUUCCGCCAUACCGCCACAUUCCUGACGCCGUUCUUCAAACAGACUUGGACGCUGAAAGAUUACCUGCGCUUGGAUGACGGGGUCCUGACGACCUACUUUAACCAUUGGCUCGACGAAAAGGAUCCGAUUCUGAACGAUUUGGCCCAUCGUUUCGUCAACCGCCAUCCUUUCAAAUCGGUCCGCUACACAAAAGGACGCGAUGAUGCUACACUGGAGCGGAUGAGUACGCUCAUUGAACGCAUGGGCUUCAACAGGGAUUACUAUACGGCCGUCAACAACAGUUAUGACCUGCCGUAUGAUCUCUACCGGCCGUACCAGGCCACCACCCGGACCCAAAUUGAGCUUGUCCAGAAAAACGGCAGUUUCCUGGAGCUCUCGCAAGCAAGUUCGAUUGUUUCGGCUUUGACGGGCAAGGUCCGCGGGGAUGAACGUUUCUACUUCCCGCGCGAAAUUACCCAUAGCGACGAGGAAGCGGGCAUCAACCUGUUCGAAUCCCUCUCACAGGAGUUUUCAACUUUUUUCGAGAAUGAUGAAAUUUUACCAACCCAACAAACAGGAGGAACGUUAUGAGCAUCAAAUUAAUCGCUAUCGACAUCGAUGGCACAUUGGUAGACAAGGAGUUCAAGAUCACCCCGGAAGUAAAAGCAGCCAUCACGGAAGCCCGUGAACAAGGCGUCAAAAUCGUACUCUGCACAGGCAGACCGUUACCGGGCGUCAAACGCUACAUCAAAGAAUUGGAAUUGGAUCAAGACGAAGAUUAUGUCAUCACCUACAACGGCUCUUUGGUGCUGUCCACAGGAACAAACGAAGUGCUCGUUUCGCACACGUUGGAUUACAACGACUUCGUCAGAAUCAACGAAUUGGCCGACAAAUUCAAUGUGCACACACACGGAAUAGAUAGCGAAGCCAUCUAUACCGCAAACAAAGACAUCAGCAUCUUCACGACACGCGAGUCUUUCAUUACGACGAUGCCGAUCCGCUAUCGCUCAUUGGCUGAAUUGCCGGAAGAUAAAUUGUUCACGAAAAUCAUGUUCAUCGACCAUCCAGAGCUGUUGGACAUCCUGAUUCCAGCGAUUCCUGCGCAGUUCCACGAGGAUUAUGUGAUUGUCCGCAGCGAACCGCAUUUCCUGGAAGUGUUGAACAAAGAUGCCGGUAAAGCCAGCGCCUUGGCCGAAUUGGCUGCAUUGUUGAAUAUCGAAGCGGAAAAUAUAAUGGCGAUCGGCGACAACGAGAACGACCUGAGCAUGAUCGAAUACGCAGGCGUCGGCGUCGCGAUGGGCAAUGCCGUCGAUAAAGUGAAGGAAGCUGCGGAUUUCAUCACCACAUCCAACGCCGAAAGCGGCGUGGCACACGCAAUCAGAACUUACCUGAACAAAUAAACCAGAAAAAGGUAUGCAUGGGGCUGUCUGGAACUGAAUUCGGGCUGAAAUAACCCGUCAAAACCAGUUUGGCGGGGAAAAACAGUUCAAAUCGCAGUCAGAAAACCCGCCGAAACCACCUUGGCGGGGAAAAACAUCCGCGGGCAAUGCGAGAUUCCCCGCCAAAUCUAUUUUGGCGGGGAAUUCCGCCGUGAAUUCGAUCCUCAGACCAGUCAAUAAUACCACCCAACCACAACCAGGGCUGUCUCAUCGAGACAGCCCCAUUAUUUUAAUCACGCGUGAAGCAGGUGCCUGAUAUGGACAAUCAUUCUGCGGGUUUCGGCAAAACCCUCUUAAGGAUAAGGAAAAACAAACACUAUUCCCAACAAUACAUGGCGGAAAACAAGAUCCACCAAUCGACCUAUUCCAAGAUGGAAAGGGAUCUGAUCGAGCCGACGCUGGGCAACUACCGGCAUCUUUUGAGCAGGCUGGACAUGACCGAUGAAGAACUCCAUUACAUCAUGAAUGAAUACAAUCAUUCCGAAAAGGAGCAAUUGGUGGCAGCUUUUAUGAACCUGUCCUUCAACGAUGUCCCCCUCUUGAAGGAAAUCCGGGAGAAAGCCCUGAACUAUUUGGGGAUCCAUACCGAUUACAUCAUCACGGACAUCGUUCAUCUAACGGAUGCACUAAUCAUUUUGGCCCGAACAGGAGAUAUUCUGAACGCCCGGAAAGAAGCGAUUCCGGUAUGGAAAAGGCUUGAAAAGCUUGACGGUUGGUACUUGGUCGAAUUGGGGAUGAUCAACGCCAUGCUGUUUCUGUUCCCUAUCGACGAAGCCAUUCUGAUCUCCGAGACCGCCUUCACACAAACGAAAAAAUAUGCCGGCCAUCCUUCGGCCACAAAGAUAGCCACCUCGCUACGCUAUAACUUGUGCUUACUGCUAUUGAAGAAUAAACGCUAUGAAGAGACGAUUGCCUGCAUCGAUGAGCUUAUCCCGGCUGCAAAGAAGGCCGGCUCCUACCGGCAUUUAUGUGUCUGCUAUCUCAGAAAAGGUUUCGCCUUAGCGAAGACGGGCAAUCCCGAAGGCCAGCUGCUGCUCGAUCAAGCUUUCCAAUUGAUCGAAGCGGCAGAUGAUCCGGCCUUCAAAGCCAAUCUCGAAAAUGAAUACAAUCUCCUGAAAGAGCAAUCAAAAAACUGAUUGCUCUUUUAUGCUUAUAGGAAUAUUUUGUAGAGAGACGCAGGAUCUGUAUUAAAAUGAAAGCAACUAUGGGAAGACUGUCCUGACAAUUCCCAGAAUGACCACUUAUUCGAGGGAGGCGGGGAAGUCCAUGAAUCCAAAAAGUUGUAAUCUGUGCGCUUAUAUACUGGGCUGUGCUUGCCUGAUCGGAAUGGUACGGUAUCCGGAAGUGUCAGAAUCUUGGUGGCUAACAAUCGGUAUAUGCAGUGGCUUGUUGUUCGUUUCCAGCAACUGUAUGGAAUCCGCGAAGCAUUGGACCUUCCUUGGCAUCGAUGCUUUGAAUCUGAUUGUGCUUGCCUUAUUAAUACAGCUCCUUCCUCCUAGUUGGGGGUUUGCGCUGAAUGUCGUUGUCCUCAUGGCUAUCUUCCUGCUUCUCUACAUCAAAAGUACCUUUUACGAAAAAUAGCUGUUUUUGUAGUCAUUAUAUUCGGUCGCAAGCUUGCCUGUUCUGAGAAAGGGGGCUCACCCAUGAAUUGGAUCCGUCUGAUCAUCGGCGAUAUUUGGUUUCUGUAGACAUCGGGCAAUAAACGCGGAACGGGUUUGCUCAGCCCUGAUUCAGGAACCACUAUGACGCUUAGGUUCACAAGUCCUUACACUUCCUCAAUCUCAAAAAUCGCUUCAAUUUCAACUGUGGCAUCCAGUGGAAGAUGUGCUGUACCGAGUGCUGUACGUGCAUGUCUUCCGGCCUCUCCGAACACAUCGAAUAACAGCUGGGAUGCAGCAUUAAUAACAAUAUAUUGUUCUAAAAAUCCAACUUCACUGUUUACAAAUCCUUGUAGUUUAACGACAUUUAAAACACGGUCCAAAUCACCCAGGUAAUCCUUGACUGCUGCCAAUAUAUUAAUCGUGCAAAUUUUUGCUGCAUCCUGUGCUUCUUCUAAUGUUCUUUCACUGCCGACUUUCCCUGUAUAAACAAGUUCCCCGUUAACAAUCGGAAUAUGUCCUGAUACAAACAAAGCAUUUCCUAAUUGUUUUACAGGAAUGUACAUUGCACUGGGAGUAGAUUUUUCUGGUAAUGUAAUACCCAAUUGAUUGAUUUUCUGUUCAACUUUCAUAAUACCAAAACUCCUUUUCAUUUGUAUUUAUUUGUUUCAAUCGAUAAAAAUAUCCCCGAUAGAAUACAAAGCUGCGUGACCGCUAAUUUUUACCCGGUCACCAUUAUUUUUGCAGUAUACCGUCCCCCCUCGUUGCGACAGCUGGCGAGCAACCAUUUCCGUUUUCCCCAAUCUUUCUGUCCAAAACGGAACUAGACUGCAUUGCAUCGCGCCGGUAACAGGGUCUUCAUUGAUAUUUAAUUUCGGGAAGAAUGCUCUUGCCACAUAAUCAUAGGAUUUUCCUUUUGCAGUUACAAACACAGCUAAUCCAGGAAGUUUUUUUACUUUUUCAAAAUCCGGUGCGAGAUUGCGAACCGCAUCUUCCGAUUUUAAAAGAAAAAUUAAGUCACGCCCUUUAUACACUUCCACUGGUUCAACACCUAGAGCGUCUAUCAUCUGCUCUGACACAGGAUAUUUUUCAGGAAUGAUGAUCGGGAAAUCCAGUUCAUACAAGUCAUCUUUUUUGUUAACGGUCAGCUCCCCACUCAUCGUGUUGAAGCGGAUAGAAGUUCGGUCUGUAUCUACAAAUCUCAUCAGGACAUAGGCUGUCGCUAAAGUAGCAUGACCACACAGAUCUAUUUCCCCACCUGGCGUGAACCAGCGCAGAUGAUAGCCGGUUUUUUCCUUUACGGCAAAGGCUGUCUCGGAAAGAUUGUUCUCACUAGCGAUGUUUUGCAUAGUGUCAUCCGGUAACCAUUCCUCCAUAAUACAGACACCGGCAGGAUUUCCUUCAAAGACCUUUUCCGCAAAAGCGUCAACCACAUAAUAUCUCAUUUUUCCAGCUCCUUUACUUAUAUUAAUAAGGGUUUUAUUGCAAUUUCAUGCAGAGUUGCUAUUAUUAAUAUAGCGUUGAUUAUCAAUAAAGCAAGAAUGCACUUUUUGGUAAUAUACUACCCAAAAAGAUACUAAGGAGAUCUGUAAACAUGAGGACCAAUCAAACAUUCAGUUGCCCGAUAGAAGCUGCAACAAGCUUCAUCGGCGGAAAAUACAAGACUAUCAUCUUGUGGCAUUUGGUGAAUGAAACUUUAAGAUUUAGUGAACUGCAGAGGGCAGUCCCCAAAGCCACUCCUAAAAUGUUGACACAGCAGCUACGAGAACUUGAGGCUGAUGGAUUAAUCAGAAGAGUCGUUUAUCCUGUUGUCCCACCCAAAACGGAAUAUUCUUUAACAACAUUAGGAGAAAGUUUGAUUCCAAUUUUAGAAGGCUUGCGUAAUUGGGGUGCUUAUUACUUUGAUGAGCGCGGUAUUCCUAAUCCUUGUAUCGAUGGGAACCAGUAAUGGAUUGUUGGAAUUGAGUUAUCGGCAAGGCCAUACCCAUUAAAUACACGGUUGCUAUGGAAUCUGAUAAAAAAUAAGCCAAGUCCGGAUUUCCCAUCCCGGACUUGGCUUAUUUUAUGGCAUCCUUAAGCUUUUUCGCCUAUGAAUUCGCCGUUUUUGGUCAAAUGUUGUUUCGAGAUCUCAUUCAGGAUCACGUGCACGCUUUCCUUCGAUACAUUGGCAUUUUUUACGACAGCAUCCACGACAUCGCGCAUCAGCCCUUGUUUCUGCUCGUCGGUUCUGCCUUCCAGCAAUUCGAUGUGAACAUAUGGCAUUUCAAUUCCCUCUUUUCGAUUUAUGGUUUCAACUCAGUUAUAUUUUAGCAAGUAUCCCUGUGGAUUGCACCUCUAUUUGGAGGCGAUGUAGGUCUUCAGGCGUUCAGCCGCCUCAGCGACCAUAUCCGUGCUCAGCGCGUAGCUCAUGCGGACAUAACCUUCUCCGCCGGGUCCGAAGAUCGAGCCCGGGAGCAUGCCCACUUUGGCGUUCAUGCCGAUUUCGCGGCAGAAGGCCUUGUCGUCCGUACCGAACUUCGCCGGAAUCUUCGCAAAAGCGUAGAAAGCCCCUUUCAGUGCGGGAACCUCAAAGCCGGCUUCCUGCAAGGCGGGAACGAGGAUGUUUCUUCUUUUUUCAUAUUCGGAGCGCAUCUUUUCAACGUCCGGCGCGCUGUUGCGGAAAGCCUCUUCGGCAGCACGGUUGGAAACCGUUACGCCGGUCGUCACCAAUUGCUGAUGGGCCAAGAACAAGGUCUUCAUCCAUUUCGCAUCCGCUGCCAGCACACCGACACGCCAGCCCGUCAUCGCAAAAGCUUUCGAAGCCCCUUGGAACAGGAUUGUGCGGUCACGCAGCAGGGUCGCAAUCGACGUAUGCUUUUCCCCAUAGGUGAUUUCGCUGUAGAUUUCAUCGCUCAGCACAAAGAUGUCGUACUGCUUGAUCGCAUCGGCCAAAGCCGUCAGUUCCUUUUUUGUAUAAGUAGCGCCUGUCGGAUUGCUCGGAUAGUUCAAAAAGAGCGCUUUGACAUUUUUGUUUUCGGCCAUCGUCUUGUGCAGCAGCUCCGGUGUCAUCAAAAAGCCGGUGUCGGAAGUAUCGACGAGGAUGCAUUCGCCGCGGUUCAGUUCCACCGCAUAACUGUAUAAGGGAAAGUACGGCGACGGGAUGAUGACCUGAUCGCCCGGGUUCAACAAGCCGAAAGCCGCAGCAAAGAGCCCUUCAGUGGCGCCCACUGUCAUGACGAUUUCGGUUUCGGGAUCGUAGUGCAGAUCAUAUUGCUUUUCCAGGAAUUCGCUGACUGCCUUACGGACGCCGAUUUCGCCGGAAGUGUGGGCAUAAUGGGAGGCAUUGUCCUCGAUCGCCUUGAUGGCGGCUCGCUUGACGUUUUCGGGCAUAUCAAAAUCCGGUUCCCCGAUCGUCAUCGGAAUGCAGUCUUCCACGCUGCGGAAUAAUUCAUCAAAUUCGCGUAUCUGCGAAGGUUUGAUGCGGGAAAAUAGUUCAUUCGUUGUCAAAGCCAUGUAUUACAUCCUCCAUCCAAGUUUGCAUCACCGCCAGAAUCCCCUCGGCAUAUGCUUUUUUAUAGGAAUAUAUCCUUUUUCUCACAUAAUUUUAAUAUUAAUCAGAAUACGACUAUUCGGGCAAUAAGUCAAGCGCACCAUGGCAUCGUCCGUUUCGUGAGAGCGUUUUCCGUUUCGCAAAAUGAGAAAAUUUGAAAAUUUUGCGUUUCUUUUUAAUCUUAUCUGUUGACAAAGAAAGCGGGAUUGGGUAUAUUAAUCACAUCAAAAACACAGCGAAGAGAAGAGUAAAUCAUUCCACUCCUUCAUUAGAGAGCUUGGUCAGGUGAAAGCAAGCAAGGAAGUGUUGGUUGAAGAUGGUCUCAGAGUGGCUUGUCCGAAGAGUAAUUUCUUAAGACAGGACGGGAACGCCCGUUACAGUGUCACAGUCUGACUUGCAGCAAUUUGCAGGCGCACUGGCUAAGGCGGAUGCAGCGAUGCUUUCGUGAACUAAGGUGGUAACACGAGAUCGAACUUUGACCUCUCGUCCUUAUCUUGCGCAUAGAAUAUGCAGCAGAUAAGGCGAGAGUUUUUUGAUUUUAUGAUAAAAUGUAAACGCAAGGAAGAGGAAAGUAAAAACCGCAACGUAUCACAGCGAGCCUGGUUGGAUGAGAACAGGUAUACGGAACGGUUUUGAAGAUGGCCUCGGAGCGGGAGGGAUGAGCUGCGCAAGCAGUGAGUCUCUCAAGGGAGCACCCUUUAUCGUGCACGAGUGAAGCAAGCCUUCACUCAUGGAGGAAUCCUGCCGCGAGGGGGAUUCGAACAAAGGUGGUAACACGAAGCGUCCGCAUUCGUCCUUAACGUCAUAUUUUUUUGAUGUAGGAUGGAUGUUUUUUUUUAUUAGAGGAGGAAAGAUACAUGAUCAGUCUACAGGAUAUCUCAGUGACUUUUAAAGCAGACAAAAACAAGGCCAUCCAUGCCGUGCAGCAUGUUUCCCUGGAUGUCGAUAAAGGCGACGUCUACGGCAUCGUCGGAUACAGCGGCGCCGGCAAAAGUACAUUAGUAAGGACCAUCAAUCUUCUGCAGCGGCCGACUGAAGGAAAAGUCAUCGUGAGCGGAAAAGAUAUGAUGGCAUUGAACGACAAGGACCUGCGCGAGUCCCGCAAAAAAAUCGGGAUGAUUUUCCAGCAUUUCAAUCUGAUGCGUUCCCGCACCAUUUACGACAACGUCGCAUUUCCCUUGAAGAAUUCUUCCUUAAGUAAAAAGGAGAUCCACGACAAGGUAACGGAACUUCUUUCAUUGGUUGGGUUGUCCGAAAAAGCCAAAGCUUACCCUUCCCAAUUGUCAGGAGGGCAAAAACAGCGUGUGGCCAUCGCCCGCGCUUUGGCGAACGACCCGGAAGUGCUGCUUUGCGAUGAAGCGACCAGCGCUUUGGAUCCAAAAACGACUUCUUCGAUACUGGCUUUAUUGAAAGAGCUGAACAAGAGAUUGAACCUGACGAUCGUCAUCAUCACCCAUGAGAUGCAGGUCGUGAAGGAAAUCUGCAACAAAGUGGCUGUGAUGGAAAACGGCGGCGUGAUCGAAUACGGCUCGAUCCUUGACAUCUUCACGAAGCCGCAGAAUCAAUUGACGAAGGACUUCAUCGAUACAGCAACACAUGUCGAGCACGGCAUCGAAACGGUCAUCACCCACCCGACCAUCCUGAACCUGAACGAACAUGAUGUGCUGACAAAGCUUUCAUUCGUAGGAGGUUCCACAGGCGAGCCGCUUAUCGCAAAACUGGCCAAUACAUUCAAUGUCCAAGGCAACAUCCUCUUCGGAAACGUCGAGAUCCUGCAGGACACGCCAGUCGGCACCCUGCUCCUCGUCCUGAGCGGAACACCGGAAGCAAUCGCAAAAGCCGUCCGCUAUCUGCAGGAUAAUGGCGUGACAGUCGAGAUCAUAACCGAUGAAAUCAUCGCCGAAAAGAAAAAUAAAGGAGGAGCUGAAGAAUGAAUACAUUCAUCACAACAUUUCUCCCUAACGUCUCUGAAAUCUGGGAUGAAGUGCUCCUGAGCACAUGGGAGACCUUAUACAUGACGCUCGUUGCCGGACUGAUCGCAGGUGUGCUGGGAGUCAUCCUAGGCGUAAUUCUGGUUGUCACCCAAGAUGGGGGUAUCCUUGAGAGCAAACAUCUGUACAACGUUCUGGAUAAGCUCGUCAAUAUCUUCCGUUCACUGCCCUUCAUCAUCCUGAUGGCGCUGAUCGUACCGUUCACGCGGUUCGUGGUCGGCACUUCGAUCGGAACGACUGCAUCGAUCGUACCGCUGGUUGUAGCGACGGUUCCCUUCUAUGCCCGUCAGAUCCAAAAUGCAUUGGUUGAAGUCGAUCCCGGCGUCAUCGAGGCAGCCCAGUCAAUGGGUGCCAGCCCUGGGGAAAUCAUCUUCCGAGUCUAUCUGAAGGAAGGUUUGCCCGGCAUCAUCCGCGUAUCAUCCGUAACGAUCAUCAACCUGAUCGGUUUGACGGCAAUGGCUGGAGCCAUCGGCGGAGGCGGCUUGGGUAACCUGGCCAUCACCCGCGGCUACAACCGAUUCCAGAACGACGUGACCUUGGUCGCAACCAUCAUCAUCCUGAUCAUCGUAUUCAUCAGCCAAGCCAUCGGAAAUGCUUUGGUCAAAAAAGUUAGUCACUAAUAUAAAAAAACAAAAACGGAGGAAAUCAAUCAUGAAAAAGAAAAACGUAUUAUUCUCAGGUGUUGCAGCACUUACCCUAUUUUUAGCAGCUUGCGGAAGCAGCGACUCGAACACGGACUCAGCAGCAGACACGGCCGCUUCAGAAGCUGAAGCAGUGAAGGUCGGCGUAGUCAGCGAAGUCGAAGUUGAAGUCUGGGAAGAUGUAGCCAGCCGUUUGGAAGCUAAAGGUAUCGAAUUGGAAAUCGUCCAGUUCAGCGACUACGUGCAACCUAACGUCGCCUUGGAAAAUGGCGAUAUCGACCUGAAUGCCUUCCAGCACGUGGCUUAUCUUGAAGAUUUCAAUGCCAACAACGAGUCAGAUCUGACUCCGAUCGGUUUCACUUAUGUUUCUCCACUUGGCUUGUAUUCCGAAACAGUGACGGACUAUGCUGACAUCGCUGAUGGAGCGAAAAUCGCCAUCCCUAACGACGUGACCAACGGCGGACGCGCACUCUUGCUGUUGCAAGCAAUCGGCCUGAUCAAAGUCGACGAAGCGAAAGGAACAACACCGACAGUCAGCGACAUCACUGAAAAUCCUAAAAACAUCAGCUUUGAAGAAUUGGAUGCUUCCCAAAUUCCCCGUUCCCUUCCGGAUGUGGACGCAGCGAUCAUCAACACAAACUACGCUACCGAUUCCGGCCUGAAUCCUAAAGAAGACGCGCUCUUCUUGGAUACUGACAACAUCGCAAGCGUUGCGGACGUCUACAAAAACAUCGUAGCUGCACGUUCUGAAGAUGUCGACAACGAAACCUACAAGCAAGUCGUUGCGGAAUACCAAACAUCCGAAACAGCAGCACUUCUGGACGAUGUAACAGAAGGCAAUGACGUACCCGCUUGGGAACAGUAAGACCCAUUCACUUGUUUACAAAAAUCACGUUUGCAGACGUGAUGUAAAAAUAAAAAAAAACAAUCGGAGGAAUUACAUUAUGAAAAAGAGUAAAUUAUUUGGUGGCCUAGUCCUUACAGCUUCAUUAUUCCUGGCAGCAUGCGGAAACGGCGGAACAACCGCUGAUUCAUCCGCUUCAGAGUCAAGCAGCACAGUUGCAGCAGAACCAACUACAGUCAAAAUCGGUCUGGUCAGCGAAUCCGCAGUCGAAAUCUGGGAAGCCGUCGCAGAGCGUCUGGAAGACGAGAACAUCGAUCUUGAAAUCGUCAAAUUCACUGACUACAACCAACCGAACAUCGCGUUGGAUAACGGCGAGCUCGACUUGAACGCCUUCCAGCACGUAGCCUUCCUGGAAAACUACAACGCAAACAACGACGCAGACUUGACACCAAUCGGAUUCACUUUUGUGUCUCCACUGGGGAUCUACUCUGACAAAUAUGCAGAUUACAGCGAAAUUCAAGACGGCGACACGAUUGCUAUCCCGAAUGACGUAACCAACGGCGGACGCGCUUUGCUGCUGUUGCAAGCCAUUGAUUUGAUCACUUUGGACAACGCAACCGGCACAACACCAACCGUAAACGACAUCAUCGAAAAUCCUAAGAACCUGAACAUCGAAGAAUUGGAUGCCGCUCAAUUGCCGCGUUCGCUUGAAGAUGCAGGCGCUGCAGUAAUCAACACCAACUUUGCCGUCGAUGCUGGACUUGUACCGACUGAAGAUGCCCUUUACCUGGAUACAGACAACAUCCAGGAAGUCUUGGACAUCUACAAAAACGUUGUAGCUGCCCGUGCAGAGGACGUUGACAAUGAAGUCUACAAAAAAGUUGUAGCGGCAUACCAAACAGAAGAAACAAAAGCUUUGAUCGCAGAAACAACUGCUAACACAGAUAUCCCUGCUUGGGACUAAGCGAACCCCUUUCUUCUUCAGCCUGAAACCAUACUAAAUUUACGAGUAGCAUCAAGCCGGUGCGUUUCUUUCGCGCCGCUCUUGAUGCUAUCUUUAUAUACAAAGGAGCCCUUUAUUGAUGAAAAAUAAGACAUUUUUAGCAACCUUGACCCUUUCAGCCAGCCUUUUCCUUGCCGCUUGCGGCAACGCAGCCUCCGAUUCCGCCAGCGACUCCUCCACUGCGGACGUGACUGAGCCCGUCAAAGUAACGCUGGGCGUCGUCGGCGAAGUCAACGAGCCCUGGGAUUACGUCAUCGAAGAGCUGAAAGAAAAAGAGAACAUCGAAGUCGAACUAGUCAAAUUCACCGAUUACACGACUCCUAACAAUGCUUUGGCCGAAGGUGAAAUCGACCUGAGUUCGUUCCAGACAGAGAUCUUCAUGGACAACUACAACAGAGAUCAUGGAACGGAAUUGACGACCAUCGGCUAUACAGUAAUGGCUCCCUUAGGACUUUAUUCCGAAAAAAUCACAAGCAUCAACGAACUGAAGGAUGGCGACACGAUCGCCAUCCCGAACGAUGUCUCCAACGAAGGACGCGCUUUGAUCCUGCUGCAGACAGCUGGCCUGAUCAAGCUUGACACUGCGGCCGGUUUGGUCCCGACAACCGAAGAUGUCGUCGAAAACAGAUUGAACCUGCAGUUCCAGACACUUGAAUCCAAUCAGACUGCCCGCGCUUUGCAGGACGUGACCGCUUCUGUCAUCAACAGCGGCAUGGCCGUGGAUGCCGGCUUCAUCCCGAGUGAAGAUGCCGUCUUCCUUGAACCGGUUACGGAAGACUCAAAACCUUAUUACAACGUCAUUGCGGCACUCUCCGAAGAUGUCGACAACGAAGUCUUCCAAACGAUCGUAGCUUACUAUCAAUCCGAAGGAACGGCCAAAGUCAUCGAAGAAUCUUCAAAAGGCUCGCAGUUCCCGGUUUGGGACGAAGCAAAAUAAUAUAGAUAAUCAAACCAUCACUAGGGGCUUGGGCCAUUUGCCCAAAGCCCCUUUCCUAUAAAGAUUCAAGGAGGAAUCAUCCAUGACAAUCAACCAACAACAGAUCCACCAAGAAGUUACCGAUAUCUACGACUACAUCAUCGCCCUGCGCCGCCAUUUCCACCGUCAUCCGGAGCCGAGCCUGAAGGAAUUCGAAACGAUCCAACGCAUCAAGGAAGAGGUCGAAGAAAUCGGCGUGCCUUACAUAAAUGUCGGGGAGACCGGCAUCUUGGCCACCUUGGAGGGCGGAAAAGGAUCAGGCAAGACCAUUCUGCUGCGUGCCGAUAUCGAUGCGUUGCCUUUGCCGGAUGAGACCGGUAAACCCUACGCUUCCGUCAAUCCCGGUUUCAACCAUGCUUGUGGCCACGACGGGCAUACCGCUUCCUUGUUGGGCGCGCUGAAAAUACUGAAGGAACAUCAGGAUGAAUUUGCCGGGACGAUCCAGUUCGCCUUCCAACCAGCAGAAGAAAUCGGCGCCGGGGCGCGCCAAUUCGUGCGUGGCGGCUAUAUCGACGGCAUCGACCAUGUGUUCGGCAUCCAUCUGCAAUCCGGCACGCAAGUCGGCAAAAUCGUCGCGACACCGGGACCUUCCAAUGCGUCUUGCGAUAUCUUCAAGAUCAAAGUUUUCGGUAAGAGCGGACACGUCUCGCGUCCGGAUCUGGGGCGCGACGCUUUGGUCAGCGCAGCCGCCAUCGUUACGGAACUGCAGACCAUCGUUGCCAGGGAAGUCCGUCCUACCGACGAAGUCGUUGUCGGCAUAGGAGUGUUGCGUGCCGGAACGAACUACAACAUCAUCGCCAACGAAGCCGAAAUCGAAGGGACCGUGCGUACCUUCAGUCAUGAAGUACGCGCACAAGUUCUGGAUGCCGUGGAAAGGAUCGCCAAGAACGUUUCGGAUGCGCACCGCACAACCAUCGAAUUCUCCAACUACGAUGCCGCGGCACCGCUGAUCAACGACAUCCAGGCAGCCAACCAUGCCAUCAGAGUCGCCUCGGACAUCGUCGGCAUCGAGAACGUCAUCACCGACAGCCCGAAAAGCAUGGGCGCCGACGAUUUCGCCGAUUACUUGGCGGUCGCACCCGGAGUCUACUGCUUCAUCGGCACGCAAAGCAGCGAAGAGACAGCCUACGGACAUCAUCACGAGAAAUUCGACAUCGAUGAAAAAGGUUUGGCAAUCGCGACGGAACUGCAUAUUUCUUAUGCACUGUCAUACUUGAAAGAGCCUUUCUAAUGCAAGAAAAGCUGAACGGGUUCGUUCAGCCCUGAAAGAAAUUUAGGAAAUCUGUCCGACUGAGCAUCGAAGAGCGCAAUAGGACAGAUUUAUCUAAUUUCCGAAGGGCUAACCCGUGAAGCUGGACAUCAUUUUAGGUGCAUGAAACAUUUUGCAAACUUGUGAAACACCUACGGUGAUGCACUUUUCACUCUGGAAAAUUUUAUAAAUUCCUAUAUGUCAAAAAAAAUGCGCCGUUCCUUGGGACUUCCCAAAAGAGCGACGCAUUUUUAUAUAUUUCGGAAAAUCUUGUCAGAACUGAAUCGUGCCUUCCGCGUUGUAGAAUUCGCGCCAAUCGACGAAACCGGCAUCCAGUCCGCGGAGCAGCACUUCGGCUGUGCCGAUAUUGGUGGCCAACGGGAUUUCAUAAACAUCGCUCAGACGGAUCAAAGCGGUUACAUCCGGUUCAUGAGGCAUAGCGGCCAACGGAUCCCUCAGAAAGAUGACCACAUCCAUCUCGUUUUGCGAAAUCAUGGCUCCGAUCUGCUGAUCCCCGCCGAGUGGACCUGACUUGAAGCGGUGCACAUCCAGACCGGUUGCUUCCAUGAUACGGGUUCCGGUCGUUCCUGUCGCGAACAAUUCGUGUUCUUGCAGAAUUGCUUUAUAGGCGGUACAUAACUGGAUCAUCAAAUCUUUUUUACGGUCAUGCGCAAUUAAUGCUACUUUCAUCUGAUUUCCUCCCUACCAUUUUAUAAGAACAGUAUAUCAUUUCAUGUGUUUUAUGGUCGAACCGGUCGCAAUAUUUUUCUUUUUAUUGCUAAAACAACCAAAAUAAAGUAGGAUUUCUUCAUAUUUUCUUCACAAUUCAGGACUAUUAUACAGAUAGGCCAAUCACAACAAUCUUUUUACUCUUCUUUACUCCUCCAAAGUAAAGAACAACUCCUUUAUGCCACUGCUCUUAUGAGCGGUGGUUUUUUUGUUCAUUAUGCGUAGGCGGGAUGUGUAUAUGAAUGAUAAUUGGCAUCCAGGGCGCCUCAACUCCGGUGAGCGGUUGGUCCACCGGAGCUGAUGUAGCGAUCUAGCUUCGAUUUACGAUGAAGGCCGCCUCACCGUAGUUAGUCGGUUUAGUCCUCCAUCCAUCUCCGGUGAUCCCUCGCUUGGCCGGAGUUGGCGAGCCCUAUGAAGGAUCCUUACAAGCAGACCACAUUACCGAACAGCAAAAAAGCUCAGCGGGAUAUCGCGCGAUCCCGCUGAGCUUUUUCAUGCAUAAAAUUUAAGCUAAUUCUUCCCCGUUGGAAGCAAUGACCUGCUUGUACCAGUCGAAGGAGUCCUUCUUGCUUCUCUCCAGUGUUCCGUUGCCUUCGUUGUCGCGGUCGACAUAGAUGAAGCCGUAGCGUUUCUUCAUUUCGCCGGUCGUGAAGGAUACGCAGUCGAUGCAGCCCCAUGGCGUGUAGCCCAUCAGAUCGACGCCGUCCUCUUCGACAGCUUUUUUCAUCUCUUCGAUAUGCGAUCUCAGGUAGUCAACGCGGUAAGGGUCAUGACAGCUGCCAUCCUCUUCCUUGACAUCGAUGGCGCCAAAACCAUUUUCGACGAUGAACAAUGGUUUUUCAUAGCGCUCAUAGAACUGGUUCAAGGCGUAACGCAACCCUUCCGGAUCGAUUGCCCAGCCCCAGUCGGACUCCUUGAUGAACGGAUUCUUCACGGAGUGUGCACUGGAACCGUCCAAAGCUUUCGAUACAUCUUUAUUUACGGUCGAAUCGACGCAAUUGCUCAUGUAGUAAGAGAAGCCGAUGUAGUCGACUGUGCCUUCCGCCAAAGCUUUUUUGUCUGCUUCGGUGAUGUCCAGGUUGAAGCCUUUGCGUUCAAACAUCUUCAGAGCGUAGGCCGGAUAGUGGCCGCGGCAUUGCACAUCGCAGAAGAACCAGCGGUCGUGCAUCAUCUGGUUCGACAACACCAUAUCCGCCGGACGGCAGGAAUACGGAUAGAUUGGCACCAUCGCGAUCAUGUUCCCGAUCUGGAAAUCCGGGUUGAUCUCUUUGCCGAUUUUGACUGCCAAUGCGCUAGCGACCAAUUCAUAGUGUCCGCAUUGGUACAUCGCUUCUUCCGGAUUCGGAUAGUCGCCGAAAUGCGCACCUGAGUUGGUCCAGCCGAAGAUGUCGUUCUUGUAGUUCAUUUGGUUGUUGAUUUCAUUGAAGGUCAUCCAAUAUUUCACUUUGUCUUUGUAGCGCUUGAAGCAGACCUCCGCGAAAUUGACGAAGAAAUCGAUCGUCUUGCGGUUCAUGAAACCGCCGUAUUCCUUAGCCAAGUGGUAUGGCAUCUCAAAGUGGGAAAGUGUGAUGACCGGUUCGAUCCCGUAUUUCAACAAUUCAUCGAAAACAUCAUCGUAGAACUGCAGCCCUUCUUCAUUCGGUUCCGCUUCAUCCCCGUUCGGGAAAAUGCGCGACCAGGCGAUCGACGUGCGGAAACAUUUGAAGCCCAUCUCGGCGAACAAAGCGAUAUCCUCUUUGUAGCGGCCAUAGAAGUCAAUGCCGACGUGGUUCGGGUAAUAAUUGCCUUCGACUACACCAUCCGUGAUGACGCGGGGAACACCAUGUGCUCCGGCUGUCAUGACGUCCGCCACGCUCAAGCCUUUGGAAGUGUUCAGAACCCCUCCUUCAAACUGAUGGGCUGCCAAGGCGCCGCCCCAUAAAAAGUCUUUAUCCAAUGCCAUAAUGAUCUCUCCUCUUAUUUAUAUUUGAUUUUAUAAGCCAAGAUAAUGGAUGCCAGUACAAAGGUGAUGCCGUUCGCUGCAAUGAUGGCAUAAUCCUGGAUAUUCCAUCCGUGGAUCAACCAUAAAAACACACCGACCACAAACAUGGAGUACAUACCCAACGAAAUGCCGGAAGUGUCCUUUGUUUUGAUGAUCUGCCACGCUUGCGGAACGAAGGACAAUGUAGUCAAAAUGGCUGCGAUGAAUCCUAUCAUUUUUUAUUCCCCCUACCGAUAUGGAUGUGCGACUAAAAUGACCAACGAGGCGGUAACAUUCUUUUACAACUCGAAUUAUAAUGGAUAGAAAAACAUAAUCAAUAAUUUCCGGAUACUCCGUAACAACGUUUACAAAUUUCCCAUUUUUUUGCUCCGGAUUAUCAAAUAACAUUCGCAAAUAUGAUAGGAUAAUAGUGAGGUUCAGAAGAAACACGUUAGGGGGAUGCGGAUGCUCAUCAGAGAACGGCUGGAGAAUUUUGAUUUCUCGAACAGCGAACAAAAGAUAGUGACCUACAUAUUGGAGAAAAAAGCGGCCAUCCAGGAAAUGACCACCAAAGAGAUUGCCGAAGCAACAUAUACAUCCCCUUCCACAUUGGUAAGGAUUGCCCAUAAGAUGAACUUCAGCGGUUGGAGCGAUUUGAAGGUGGCCUUCUUGAAAGAAGAAUAUUUGCAGAAACAUUUCAGUGAAAUAAACGCCAAUCUGCCUUUUCAACGUAAUGAUACCAUCAUGUCGAUUGCAAGUAAAAUUGCUGCCUUGGAAAAGGAAUCCAUCGAUGAUACCUUGUCGCUGAUCACCCAUGACGACCUUCAGAAUGCCGUCCAGAUCAUCCGGAAGUCUUCCUAUACCAGUCUUUUUGCAGUCAGCAACAACCUGUUGAUCACACAGGAAUUCCAACACAACAUGUCGCGGAUCAAAAAACGGGUCGAAAUCUGUUCAUUGCAGGGCGAAACGAUCUUCAAGGCGCACCUGGCGGAUCCGUCCUCCUGCGCGAUCAUCGUUUCCUAUUCCGGGGAAACUUCGAUAUUGAACGAAACGAUCCAAUAUUUGAAAGCGAACAAGAUCCCCAUCAUCGCCAUCACCAACAUCGGGGACAACACGACGGCGCGGAUGGCGGAUUGCGUCCUCAGGAUUUCCACAAGGGAGAAGCUCUAUUCAAAAAUCGCUACCUUCUCCACCGACAGCGCCAUCGUGUACCUGCUGGAUGUGCUCUAUUCCUGCAUCUUCGCGCUCGAUUACGAUGCCAACCUGCAGCUGCGGAUCAGCACUUCCAAGAUGAUCGAAGCUGGCCGAUCCUCAACGGUGGAUAUCAUCAAGGAAGAGGACCACGCUUCUAGAUGAUAAAAUAUCAAUUGUGUCCGUAAAAACAGCAAAAAUAAGUUAGAUUUUCUUCACGCUUUUUUCACACGUGGGGCCUAUUAUAAAGACAAGCCAAUUAAACAAUCUUUUUACUCUUUUUCACUUCUUUACUCCUCCCAUGUAAAGUGCACGCGCAAAAAACCAUCGCCCCAACCCGGCGAUGUUUUUUUGUGUGCUGGUCAGCCCAGCUUCUUCGUCAUGAUGAAAUCGGUCUGUUCAUCUUCGCCCAUAAAGAACGAAUGCGAGCCGGUACGGACGAAGCCCAUUUUUUCAUAAAAAGCGAUGGCAUUCACAUUGUGUUCCCAGACGCCCAGCCAAAUCAGUUGCUUGCCCUGCGCGCGGGCGAUUUCAAUCGCUUUAUCGAUCAGAUAUUUCCCGAGCCCUCUGCGCUUGAAGGCCGGUCGGAUAUAGAUCCGCUCCACUUCCAAUGAAUCGGCACCCAUCUCUUCCGUCAAGGCUGCAUCGACAUUGAACUUCAUAUAGCCCGCAAGUUCCUCUCCGUCAUACAGAAAAUAGAAGGUCGAACCUGCAGUCGAAAGCUCCUCCUUCAGCUUUUCCGGAUCAUAGGCCUUAUCCAGGUAAGCCUGCAGGUCUUCCGGCGUGUUGUGGGCCGCGAAAGUGUCCGUGAACGUUUCGAUGCCGAUUGCUUGAAGAUCCGCCAAAUCUUCGCUUCCGCAUUUUUUCAGUGUGAUUGCCAUAUAUGAUGCACUCCUUAUCUUUGCUUCAGUAGUUUCGUUUGUUACCUUUUUUCACGUAUUCCCAGUCGCCUUCGACGUUUUUUCGGACCGUUUGGAGCAGUCCGCUGAGAACCGUCGCUUCCUCUUCCGAUAAUCCCUGCAGCGCCACCCGUUCCGAGUGCUCAUUUUCCCUGCUGAUGUUCGGGGAGAUCGCUUUGCCUUUUUCCGUCGGGAAGAUCCGUUUGAUUUUUCUGUUAGCGGCAUCGGCUCUCUUCUCGAUGAACCCGUUCGCUUCCAGUUUUUUGAUGGCGCGCGAAGCCGUCGUGCGGUCAACUUUGAUCAUUUCCGCCAACUUUUCCUGGAUGAUGCCCGGAUUUUCGCAGAUCCGGAUGAGAUACAAGUACUGCCCUCUCGUCAGGUCGUAUUCCUUGAACUCGAUGUUCGCGAUCGAAUCCAAAGCCCUGGCUAUCAUGCCGAUUUCGCGGAGAAUUUCCGCCAUACAACUCACCUGCCUUCUUCAGGAAAUUUAGAUUAAUCAUAACAGUUUUUUGUUGCAUUUGCAAUAAAAAGACCUAAAGAAAUAGAGAGGUCGCGCUCCAGAUGUCGGAUAUUCCCAAGUUAUCCGACAAUGCGCGGCACGUUCUCUCUCAACUUGUCGGAUAUUCCAAUGCAUCCGACAAUUAUGAUCAUAUUUGCUCUCUGUUUGUCGGAUUCUUCCAGUUUAUCCGACAAUGCUCGCUGGCCCAGCGGAUAACAUGGUGCCUCGGAUGAAACUGGCACAAAAAAAAGAGCUGGAACAAAAGUCCCAACCCUACUCUUUCAACAUCCCAUCAUAAUGAUCUACUUUGCUUUUCAUUUGCGCCAAGGUUUCCUGCAGUCCGAGGAUCCUCUCUUCCAGCAGGUCGCACUCGUCGACCCACAGAUCCCGCCUGGCCGGAACGGUAUGGAAGCCUCCGCCACACAGACGCACAUAAUCGAUCAACGGUUCGAUCGACACCCCCGCAGAUCGCACCUCCAUCAUGAAAUCCAGCCACUUCAGAUCUUCAUCCGAAUACUCCCGGAUGCCGCCUUUGAUCCGUUUCACGGGAGGAAUCAGCCCGAUCCUUUCAUAAUAACGCAAACCAUCAAGCGAAAUAUUCUUCUCUUUGCUGACUUGAGCGAUUUUCAUCUUUAUCCCCUGCGCUUUCAGCUUUCUUCCGGAGCGACUUCAUUCAGGCAAUUCAGCGCCGUUAACGUCCGCGGAUACCCGAUGAACGGCAACAAUACUGUGAUCGUAUCCAACAACUUUUGCUUGUCAUUGCCAACGCGGAGGUUGUUGCGGAUAUGCCCCUUCAUUUGCGGCUCAGCCCCGCCCAUCGAAGCCAGCAUGGUAAAGAUCAGCAGUUCCCGUUCCUGGAUCGAUAACCCGCUGCGCGUAAAGAAAUCGCCAAAACAGUUAUCCGCCAAAAAAGUGGCAAAAUGCUUCUGGUUCUGCGGCAUCGUGUCCAACAUUUUAUCCACAGUGUUCCCCGCAGCUUCGCGGACAAUUUCCAAUCCCUUCUCAAAACGGUUUUCGACAGUCGUUGUGGAUUGGCCCUCCAACGGCAGCGUAAUCCCUCUUUCCUCCAACACUUCAUUUGCCGCAUGCAGGAAAUCGAACACUUUCCCCAAGCCGGCAUAAGGGACGGCCUGAUAGACGAUCUCCUUCAGCUCUAUCGGCGUGACGGCUACAUUCAAAGAACCCUUCGCCAUCGCUUUGAACUCGUUCACGCAUUGCAUGGCGAUCAAAGCAGCCAACAGCACUUUCUGCCUUUCCUUCACAUCCAAACUGGUGCAUUGCAGCACUUCAUCAAACGCGAAAUUAUCAAAAACUUCAAUAAAUUCCGGAUCCUUUUCAGCCAAUAUCGACACGUGCCCGGGAAACAGUUCAUCAUGGUUCUUUUUGGCAGUUUCGCUCAUUUUCAUCUUCCAUUCCUCCUAUUUCAUAUUUUUGUUACCCCCAGUUUAAAUCCUGAAGUGGACUCCAAGUCAACCGUUACAGCAGCUAUUGAAUAAUAUUUUUUUAUUCGGCAUAAAACACUUGUCUUGGAGUUUACUCCAACACUUACACUAGGGUUAUAAUAAAAAUAAAACAUUUGGAGGCGCUAUCAUGGAAUAUGUAAAAUUAGGGAAUACCGGUAUGGAAGUCUCAAAACUCUGUCUGGGUUGCAUGGGCUUCGGGGAAACGGAACGCGGUCGGGAAAAAUGGUCGAUAGGUGAAGCGGAAAGCCGCGAAGUCAUCAAAAAAGCUUUGGACUCCGGAAUCAAUUUCUUCGAUACUGCAAACUUGUACUCAGCUGGAUCCAGCGAAGAGAUCGUAGGCAAGGCUUUGAAGGAUUUCGCCAACCGCGAUGAAAUCGUCUUGGCUUCCAAAUUAUAUUUCCCGAUGUUCGACGGACCGAAUGCGAAAGGCUUGUCCCGCAAAAGCAUCUUUUCGGAAAUCGAUCACUCUUUAAAAAGAUUGCAGACCGAUUAUCUGGAUUUGUACAUCAUCCACCGCUGGGAUUACGGCACACCUAUCGAAGAGACGAUGGAAGCACUGCACGAUUUGGUGAAAAUGGGGAAAGUGCGUUAUAUCGGAGCCUCUUCCAUGCAUGCUUGGCAAUUUGCCAAAGCCCAAUUCAUCGCCGAGAAGAACGGCUGGACGAAAUUUAUUUCCAUGCAGAACCUGUACAAUCUUCUCUACCGGGAAGAAGAACGCGAAAUGAUCCCUUUACUGCAGGACCAAAAAGUGGCGAUGACGCCUUGGAGCCCGUUGGCGGGAGGAAGAUUGACGAGGGAUAUCGGCGCCGUCACAGCCCGUGCCAGCCAAGCCGUGGAGGCAAAUCUGCCUGCAUACAUUGUGGCAUCCGACAAUGAAAUCAUUUCACGGGUCCAUAAAUUGGCCGACGAACGCGGCAUCACCCGCGGACAAGUCGCGACUGCCUGGAUGCUGAGCAAAGAUUACGUCACCGCCCCACUGAUAGGAGCGACAAAAGUGAAAUAUCUGGAUGAUGCCCUAGGCGCAUUCGAGGUCGCAUUGAGUGCCGAAGAGAUCAAAUAUCUCGAAGAAGCCUACGUUCCAAGGAAUAUCACGGGGUACAGAUAGGAACGAUGAGAGUCUGCGGAUGGAUGGCUCAAGAUAGCUUAGGCGGGGGAGCCCCCUCACCUCCGAUGAGGAGUGAUUCGCCGGAGGUACGGAAACAAUCCGGACACUCAGUUCCGGUUAAUGGGCGCUCUCCGGAACUGAGUGGAGUAAGCGACAUCUGAACUUCGGCGAACCCUAGCUUCAUCGGAGUUCAGAUGUCCAGUGGUGCAGAGCAACCUUGCCGCACAUCAGCAACGCCAAAAAAACAAGCCCAGAAGGAUGGAAACCAUCUCUCUGGGCUUGUUUUUGUGUGAUACCGGCGGCCGGGGUCGAACCGGCACGCCCUCGCGGGCACUGGAUUUUGAGUCCAGCGCGUCUGCCAAUUCCGCCACGCCGGCAUGAUAUGAAGAAUGCAAUUUUCCAUCUUACUUAUGGAAAGGCGGUAACCGGAUUUGAACCGGUGAUAGAGGUUUUGCAGACCUGUGCCUUACCACUUGGCUAUACCGCCGAGGUGUUACUAUUUGAAAAAACUGGGCUAGCUGGAUUCGAACCAACGAAUGACAGAGUCAAAGUCUGUUGCCUUACCGCUUGGCGAUAGCCCAAUAAGAG
rnacentral:tRNA from 1 species